rnacentral:lncRNA from 1 species
UUCCCGUUAAAACCUUGUGGAAUUAAACCUUCCGCCAUCCAAAGUAGAACCAUAUCUUCCUUCUUGAACUGAUAGUCUUUUGGAAAAAUUGAACAAUACACAAAGCAUCGUUUCAACUGAGCAGGAAGAUAAUGAUAGCUCAACCGUAGGGCUGGAAGGAUAUCACUUUUAUCAUAAGGUAGCUCCCAAAGACUACUAUUUAACAAUUUAUUCCAUUCCUGGAAGUCUCUCUGGCAACGUAGUAGACCCCCCGAGUGUUUCUGCUGCUAAAGGCAAACCAUUGCACUUGUGUGCAAUUUUCUUGCCAAUUUCUUCCAAAGUUGGAUGUGCAUUGUGGUUUUCGUUUCCAAACGCAUGUUUUGAAAGUAGCAUCCAACAAUCUUCAUGCGACAAAGGCUUCAAGUGUUGAAUGGGCACAUUUUUCAUGAGAGAUGCGACAUUUUCACUUCGUGUUGUCACGAUGACUUUACUUCCCCUUGCCCCGGAAUUAAAAGGAGUUUGGAGGCACUUCCAAUCAAUAUUUCUCAUUCCAAAGGUCAUCCAACACAAAUAAGAAUUUCUUUCCCUUCAGUUGUUCUCUAAGUUCAACUUGAAGCAUAUUCAAAUCUGUCAUCAUACAAGGUUUUGAAGUGACCGACUCGAGAAGAGUUUUAGUCACCCUGAUAGCAUCAUAAUCUUCUGAAACACAUGCCCAAGAUUUACGGGUAAAGUGAUCUUUCACCUUAUCAUCAUUGUAAAGGGCUCGAGCAAGGGUCGUCUUGCCAACCCCGCCCAUACCAACAAUGGUGAUGAUAGAUACAUCAUCCUCGCUUGCAUCAUCAGAGAACAAGACUUCUGAUAAAUUUUCUUUAUCUUUGUCUCUUCCAUAUACAAAAGGUUCAUGAAUCAAGGAAGUUGUUGGAGUUCUUUGUGAAACCUUCCUCCCAACAACUUCUGUCAGACCAAGGGCAACCUUCUGUUGCACAAAGCCAUCCAGCCUUUGCAAUAACCCUUGUAUCUCAACAUUCAUGCUUUGAUAAAAAUGACCACGAGAAGUAGAGAAGAAGCUCCACACCUUGUUGGUUAAUUUGUCGGUUUGACCUUCACCUUCCACCUUGCAUCGCAAAGCUUCAGUGUCGAUCUCAUCCAGCAAGUCCUCCGCGUCCAAGACAGCAUGCUUGAGGUCGUCCAGCCAGCCUCUCACAGCAGGGUUUGAAAUUUGCUUCUCUUCCGCAUCGUUGAGCACUGCAUAAAGGGUGAGCAGCGUCGUCUUCAGUUUCAUGAGGAGGGGUUCAUCCAGCUUCUUCUGCCGGAACAAGUCACCGAAGUCGGCUGAAGCAAUUCUGUCACACAGCACCUGGAUGGAAGCGGAGAUCAAAGCCUCUCCAAUCAAAGCGGCGGCCAUUUUUCUCUUUGGUUGCUUAGUUUGCUAGUAGCUCAAUGUAGAAGAAAAGGCUUUUGAGAUUAUAAUUAUCGAUCUCCCAAUUCGUAAAGAACUUGUUAUUGGUCAGUUGACCCAAAAAGAUCUGUGAUUGGUCUGUUGACAUUAAAAGAACUUGUGAUUGGUUUGUUGACCAUAAAAAGUUGUCCGAUGGACCCAGAUCCGGAUCUUUUUAUCGGUGGCCUGCGGACGAAACAUCGUGGCCGUUGAUUCAAAGUACAUGGAAAUCGUGCGGCCGUUAAAUUUCUCAAUUUACACAAACAGCGAGGCUCUGCUUAAUGGUUUCCAGGUGGUGCUUCUCAUGAAAGACGAGGUGCUAUUUUUCUUUUCUGUGAGACAAUAAAGAGAGAAUAUAAAUGUUUAGGGGUUCCUUAAAAUUGAAAUAUUUAAUAGAUUUUCUGUUAUUUUAUAAUUCAAUGUUAAUUUUUGUGUUAAUAUUAUAAAAUUUUAUAUAAAAUCAUAAAGUCACAACUUUGAACCCCAAAUAUACAACAUGGAGCAGGGAGCUCUUGACAAGCUGAUAGCGGACUACAACACCAUGGAUAUAUGGAAUUUCAAUGAGAAAUAUGGAGAUCUGUGGGAUUUCACUGUGACCGUGAAGAUGGAAGAUAUUAUGAAGAGAUAAAAAUUCAUGUGUAGUAAAUUCCGCCAUAAUUAAUAUGGGAUUUCUAAAGUUCUCAACCAGCUUGAGCAUGAAAGGUAUAUAGCUAUCAAUUUAGUCCUCUUUUUGUUGCUUCCUUUCUUUCUACAUCGGCUUUUUGACUUUCUUGUUUACAUAUUACAUGAAAGGGUGAGAUUAAAUUUUGUAAACUAAAUGAUGUGAAAAUUGAUAAUUAGAUUAUUACUUAAGUGUUGAUUAACUGCUUAUUUCUUGUUGGUGACACAUCAUUUACUCUGCGAAUUUAGUCUACAAAUUUUAUCUGUCUAGCAUUACCCAAGAAAAAAUAAUCCCCUCGCCUAUUGUCAAUAAUUGGUCGAGUGCAAUGAUAGUUAGGUCCAAGAUGUUUUCUUUAAAAGUGGUGUAUAGGAUUUGGUGUAUAUGAUUUGUUUAGAUUAGAUAACUUACUAGAUUCAAUCAAUAUGGAAUGAAGAAGUGGGUGCCCACUCACAUAGUUUUCCAAGUGAAAAGAAGAAGAUGAAUUAAUUAUGACGAAAACUUGUCCCUCCUAAUCUCCACAAGAUUGGUAGGAUUGGAAUAGAUAAGAACAAGUCCACCCGUAGAGCAAAUGCAUGUAAGUUGCCCUUACUAUUCAUUUUGAAUAGCUCAUCAUAGUGCAUGUUACAGUUAAAUGGCUACUCAAUUAACUUAGUCUCCCUAACAAUUAUUAGUGAGAAGCAUUUAAAAAGCAAUUUAUAGAAGAAAAAAAGGGUAAUGUAAGGGAGAUUAAAUUUGUAGACAAUUUUGUAAACUAAAUGAUGUGAAGGUUAAUUAUUAGAUUAAUACUCAAGUGUUGAUUAACGUGCUUAUUUCUUAUUGAUAACACAUCAUUUAGUUUGCAAAUUCAGUUUACAAAUUAAGUCUAUCUAGCAUUACCUAAGAAAAAAAUAAUCAACUCACCUAUUGUCCUUAAUGAUCGAGUGCAAUGAUAGUUAGGUCCAAUAGGUUCUCUUUAAAAGUGGCUAUAAGGGUCAUAUUUGUUAAGAUUGUGGCCUCAUUUGGCAUAUAGGAUUCGUUUUAUGGUUUAGAUUAGAUAACUUACUAGAUGAGUAAUGUUAGGGAGAAUAAAUUUUUAGAUAAAAUUUGUAAACUAAAUUAUGCGAUACUAAUAGGAAAUGAGCACGUUUAUCAACACUUAAAUAAUAAUUCAAUCAUCAACUUCCAUAUCAUUUAGUUUACAAAAUUUUGUCUACAAAUUUAAUCUCUCUAGCAUUACUUCUUAAUAGAUUCAAUCAAAUAUGGAAUGAAGAAGUGGAUGCCCACUUACAUAGUUUGUCCAAGUGAAGGUAUAAGAUGAAUUAACUAUGACAAAAACUUGUCCCUCCUAAUCUCCAUAAGAUUGGUAGGUUCGCAAUAGACACGAGCAAGUUCACCCAUUUUAGAAGGGCAAAGGCAUGUAAGUUGCCCUUACUAUUCAUUUUGAAUAGCACUUGCCUUUGUGCAACUCCAUCCGUUUGAAAAAUGCCUCUUUCUAGGUCAAGCAAUUAGUGUGUCUGUAAUGUAGUGUUCCCCCUUCAAUAAGUUAGAAAAAUAGUUAUUAUUGAAUAUUAAUCACAUUCCACGUUACGAGUACAUUUAUAUAUUCCUAAAACAACUCCUACCUUCAUCAAUCACUCCUCUCUGUAUUUGUUUCUCUCACUCACAGCACACACCACCCCACCUUCACAAUCUAAAACGAUGUCGUAGCACUGAACGACGAACGCUGCGAUUUGGAACAACGAUCGCCUAGGGUUUGAAACAACGCGACAAGGACGUACAUGAUCUGGAACAACGAAUGCCCAAAUCCUCAAGGAAUUACGAUUUGCAGACCCAAACGGAAGAGAAGGAAACAACUUUUAUCACUUUCACCCUGAAUUCAUACAGGUUCCCUUCAAUCUGAUUACGGAUUGGUAUACGCGCCCUAAAUUCAUACGGGUUCCCUUGCGUCAAGGGUAUUUUGUAACAGUGAGGCAACUCUUUACGUAAUCGUGAUACAAUAAUGGAUCGGAUGUGUUUAUAAUAGGCAAAUUGUUUCAUAAAUAGAGAAGCCAUGUUUCGGUACCACAUUUGCCCACAAAUAAAAUUCAAGACCCUAAAAACAAAUCAAGAAAUUAUAUCCAAACAAAACGUCAUCGGCUUAUAUCAAGUUAUUUUCACUGACCUGUAACUUACUCCCAAGUAAUCAAAUAGGAUGGGAAACCCUGUGACAACAAAACAAAUCAUACUGAGAAUAACAAACCACUCUUCCAACCUUCAAACAUGACCCUAAAAUCUAACCCGACUUUUGACGACGACGUCGACGACACCAAUUGGACAAAACCAUAGACCCAUAGAAAAAUACCGUCCCUCUUCACUCUUGAUCGUCUUUCUUCUCUUCCUUGGCAGCAGGUGCCUUUUCUUCUGCCUUCUCCUCAGCAGGUGAUUCUUCUUUUACUGCAUCGCUCUUCUUAGCUGCAGCAGGUGCCUCUGCCUCAGACUUCUCCCCAACACUCAAUUUAUCGAGAAGCCCAGCAGCUUCAGUGGCUUCUUUGCUUUCUUCUUCAGGACUCUGGGAUUCAGCAACUUCUUGAAACUUCUCCAUGAACAAUUUGUUAUCUGAUAAAGAAAAAAACAAUCAAACAUCGAUAAGCUACUUGCGUGAUGAUGGUUGGGACCUUGUACCAAGAUCUGCUAUAAACACAUUUAACGCUUGACGAGAGAUGAAAAUGAGGAAAAUGAAACUGAAUGGAUGAUGCUGCAGCGAAAGAACCACUGCAAAUGCAUCAUGGCUAUAGGAAAAGUUUACAUUGGAUCCUUUCAGAAGGUAGACAUCUCCCAAAGCUCAUACUGAAUAAUACAAUAUUAUUAACGCAGUACCAAAUAAUUGAGAUGGUAGGAAGAAUCUACUCCCAGAAAUAAUGCUACAGAAAAAUGAUUCAUUCAAAUCAAUACACAUGCAUGUCAGAGAAAGUAUGGCAGAGGAUGUCAUCUCCUUCUUAUUAUAUGCUUAAGAAAAAUAAUGCUCUAGAUCUAUGGUUCUAUACAUGCUUAAGAGAAAUAAUACAACUUGUGUUGCAAUUUAAAUCAAGAUCCGUAGGCAACAGAUCUGCUAAUUUAUGGUUUCCUCUAUAUCUUGACAACGCUCCUGAAAGCUAAGAUUUAUUUACUCAUAAAGAGAAACACCUAGGACCUUGAAGUCUCAGAAACUGAUUAGCCUAUAUACUUUAUACAGGCAGCACCACUACAUAGAAGCCUUUGAAUUGGUGCCGACUUUUCCUAAUAUAAACUCAAGUCAAAUCAAAGACCAUAACUCUCUCUAAUCAACGAAAAACUCAAAUCUAUUUUGUUCACUCUGUUAUUCCCAAAUAUUCAUAUUCCCACGUUCCAUAGUACAUAAGGGAACCUAAUUCACCACGACUAAGUGCACUACUGAGAGAUAUUCAGUAAAACAUAUUUUGGUCCAACACUGACUUCAAAAGCUCUAAAGUUCAUAACCUCUUCAAUUUGCAAGCAACAUUAGUGCAAGGAAGCCAAAAAGUACAAAUUCUUACACAGGUUUCAACAUGCAGGUAAAGUUUCUAAACGGUAAAAAUGUGUGCUUUACAGCCUAAUUGGAACCCAUCUCCGUAAGUUUUAAGCUUAGUUAGAAUGUACAAUUCCUCAUUGCAGUGAGGUGAUCAUAGCUUUACAAAAAAGAAAAAGGAAAAAAACCCACUUUAAAUAUAUGAUUAACACCAACACAUUCUGUAAAAGAGACAUUUUCAUUCAAGUAUCAGCAAACACGAGAAGAAACCAAAAACAACAUCCAUACAAAAGGGUUAGACCUAAACUAUUAACAUCCAAUAAAAAGAGAGCAAGUCAUGGUGUCCCACAUAUACACAUGUCCAACUAGUACAUCUUUUCAAAGUUAGUAAUUUCAAUGUUUAAAUGUGGGUUUUGUAUUGGUUACUUUUUUUUGUCAGCAAUGUAUUAGCUACUUACUGGAAAGCAUCAAUUGGUACACUCUCAAGUCAUAGCAAUUACAUAAAUAAAUUAACUCAAAUGUACAUCAUCAAAUAAUACAUAAUACAGAUAUACAUAUACGUAUUAUGACUGAAUCUAGUCAGACCACUCAUCAGAAACAACUUCAAAUCAAAUUGUGAUAUCAAUUGCAUCCCUCUUUAAAGCCACUAUCAAACAUUCAACUCUAAACAUUAAAAAACAAUAUCUUAUUGAAUCGGACAAAGGUAAUUAGAAGAAUCGAAAAAUUAUUAAAUUCGGAUAUUUCAUGAGUUCAAAAUAGCUACAGAUUACAUACAUAGACAAAAGUAAGAGACAGUACCAAGUAUACUACCAUCUAAUAUCAAGCAAAACAAAAAAACAAGAUUACGAAAAGAUAAACUUAUAAAGUAGACUAAACAAAUUAACUCACUUUCAAUUGAAGCAAAUCUAAUGCAGAAAAGCUCCUCCUUCAAUUCCCCAUCAGCAAAAUCGGUUGCAUGCCAAACACAGGACUUCUCAUUCCCUGCGUGCUCCUGGACUGUCAUCUUCGGUAGAACUGCAGUUAACAACGUAACAGAGCACAAGCAAAAAUAUUCAAAACCCUAAACCCAAAAUAAUAACCUGUGUACAAUUACAAUGGUAUACAUAGACUAUGAGAGACUAACCAAGAUGAUUGGCGCAUAUCUUUAGGGUUUUGGAUUGCCGCAUGACAAGGCGGACUUUUCCAGACUUCUUGUGCUUGAGAAACUUGACAGUGCCGGCACCUCGCUCCUUCCAUUGAUUACCGUCUUUAUCAAAUCGGUAAAGCUUCGCCUUCCUAUUUACACAAACAAAGCAGACAGAUUAAUAAGAAUUUAAAACGUUCAGUGCGCUAAUCGAAUCGAAUCAAAACAAAACCCUAGCUAGGUUUUUCCAGAUCGGAGUAAAAAGCAAAAAAAACCCUAGUAUUCGACGAGAAAUGAAUCGGGGGAAGAGACUUACAGAUCGAGGAUGGCGUCCUCCUCUUCCUCGCCGGUGGUAACGGCGACCUCCUCCAGCCGAACGAUCGGAGCGACCUGAGCUCCGGUGUCCUCGUCGUCGCCGGCGAGUGGUGCCUCCUCGUCGUCUCUGUGCCCUGGAUCGGCGCUCGACAUCUUAGAGAGAGAAGUAGGAUGAGUAGUAGAAAUAGGAGUGAGAGAGAGAAUUGGGGGAAGGGGAUCAGGGUUGAGGGUUAUAGGGGGUUUUAUAGUAGUAGGAGUGUGAGCGUGAGUAAUACGCCAUUCAAUACAUGGACGACCAAGGCCCAAAUCCUUCAACCCAAAAUAAUUUUAAAUUCCCUACCAAACAAUUAUUAUUAUUAUUUUUUAUUUUUGAAACAAACGAUAUUAUAUACACUAAAAAGAAUGAAUAUGAGUUUAGUUUCAUAAUAUGUUAGCAAUAAUAUGAUUCAAAUUUGUCUUUGGCAAAAUUCGAACAUAAGACCUCACACUUAUAAGCAAAGAGGAAUACCACUAUACAGUAGUACUAAGUAGCACCAAACAAAAUUUUUUAAUUUAAAAAAAAAACAAUAGUUAUGCCAUUCAGUAUUGGUCUGAUUGUAUUCUUCUUCACUUGUAAGCAAUAAGUUUUAGGUUUGAAUCUUGUAUAUGGUGAAUUCGAUACAAAAUUAUAUUGCUCAUUGUGUGGUUUAGCCGAACUCCCCCUCCCCCUAGUGUAACAUAUAUAAUUGUACUCAAAAAAAAAAAUAAUGAAAAUGACUUGAAAACUUUGAGUUUUAAUGAUAAAGACAAAAUAAAGGGUAAAGUGAAUAGUACCAUGAUUGGCUUAAUAGUACCAGGAUUGACUUUUUAGUGUAAAAAUAUGAUUUUUAGUUAAAGUGAAUAGUACCAGGAUUGACUUUUUAGUGUAAAAAUAUGGUUUUUCGUUAAAAUGAACAGUACCGAGUGCUUUUCGUUAAAGUCCCAAAAAAAAAACACACACACACACACACAAUAGCUCUCUUUGUUCAUAAAAUAAAAAAAUAAAAAAAAAAUAAAAAAGCAACCAAUAGUUCUCAAGAGAUACUUAAAAAAAUAAAAAAAGUUUUAGAAAGUUUUUUUUUUUUUGGAUCAAAAUGGUAUUUGAGAUAGGCAAUAACUCCUCACUUUGGUCUCUGAGAAUUAAAAUUGAUAAAAACUGGUCACUAAGUUUGUCUACCAUUCAUCAUUUUAGUCAUCGUGUGAAAAUCUCUCCUAAAUAAAAUAUAAUGGCAAAAAUACUCUUGAUUUUUGUUAAAUCAUUUUGGUCCAUUAUUUGUUAAAUUGAGAAUAUUUUUGUCAUUUUUGUUCUUAUUUAACAAAUAUUUUUAAUGGAAUGAUCAAAAUGAUUGACACUCAACAAAUUCUAUGACCACUUAUAUUAAUUACAAAUAUCAAGAAUCAAAAGUGAAGAGUUAUGUCAAUUUCAAUAAUCAUUUUAAUUAAGAUGUUUUUUGAAAAGAUAAUUUUAUUUUACAUUUACUAAAAUAUGCGUAUGAGAACCAUUUUGUUGCUUAACAUUUCUAUGCAUUUACUUACACCUAAAAAUUGGAAAAUAAAAGUUUUCCUGUAAAAUUUGUAAUCAAAUAUAAAAAAAAUAAAAAAAAUAAAAUAAAGAAUCAGAUCAAUUGGGAACACUAGCUGAUUCAAUUCCUUUUACUCUUCAUAUUUCCCUCUAGUUAAAAGAGUUCCAAAACACUGCAACAAUGGUGGGGUUUGCCCAGCUUGCACAGGAACACAAGAACAAAAUAUCAGAACGCUAUACCUGAAAUUUAGCAACAGUAUCAGGAGUAAGGAGCAUACCCAUUGGAGAUUCCGCAGCAAGCUCUGCAGCCCCCUUAGACUUUGUCUGAGAAAACAGUUCUUCGAACCGCUGGACAACCAGAGCACGACAACCAUAUGUUUUAGUUUCAAGAACUACAUCACCGCGUACUGAUUUCCACAGCAUAAGGGGGAAAGACAUGCACCAAAAAACGCACACAAACACACUGUCGUUACUGUCUGCAGGCCACCGGUUUUGAUCAAACUAGAACACAAGAUGAAAUAAUUGCCAUUGAUAUAUGAUAAAUACAAGAUGCCAACAAAACGCUGUCCACUGGUUUGAUGAAACAAAAGCAAUCUUAAUUAUUGAAAUCAAACGGAAAACCAGAACGUCCACACACUUCAAACAUAUAUUUUACAACAGUGCCUCCAUGAGGCCCUAAUAAUCAAGCAGCAGAUGGGGCGGAGAUGAAUUCGACAGCGCCAGUCUCGGAAAAUGCCGCUUCGGGUGGCUCCACGUUAACUUGGUCUGUGCUCUUUUCGGCCUCAGCUGAAGUCACAGUCUUCUUGCAGUCCAAAGAGUCAUCACUGUAUAUCUCCCACCAUUUGUUCACCAGCAUCUUAACAUCUUCCCUCUCCAUGUUCUCUUCCUUCCCAGUGUAACUCCAUGGCUUAGACCCCUGAACCAAAAAUAUAAAUGUCACACUCUCAAGUUAGUUGAUUAAAAAGAACGGACGUGAGUCAAUAAUAUUACAAAACUCACUAAAGGUUGUAACGAGAACUCACAUUAGCACAAUAGUUAACAACUUUGACCCUGUCAAGCUCAACGGCCACUGGGUGACGCCAGAGCAUGGGCAGCAUAAGGUUGUAAUGUGGAGCCAAGGCCACCAACUUGUCCUUGAAAAACACGUUCAGAAGAUCCUGCCAAAAAAAAAGCACAUAAAAUACAAACAAUGAUUCAAUAACACUUUCCUUUUUUCAGUACUGUCGGGUGUCGAGGUUCCUUUAAACUGUCCUUCUUCAUAGGGAUAAUAAAAUUAUAUGGCGAGAGAGAUAAAAUUACCUGCUCUGCAAAAGCGGUGGUACGAGAAGUCUGGAGGGUUUUGAUGAGGUCACUGUAGGUCACCAAGCUGGGCUCAAACACAAACACGCUAGCAUUGAAGUAAAGAGGAGGUUUGGGGCCCAAUGUGGGGUCCCACUGGACCUUGUUGGGCCACUGCUGGCAGUGCCCAAUCUUGUGAUGUGGACUGUGGCUCCAAGAGUUCUCACAGAAGCAGUCCAGUGCCGCAUAGAAGUAGGAGUCAGGGUAGUCGAACAUGUGGUCAAUGUUCUCAAAGACUAGGACGUUUCCGUCCAAGAAGAUCAUUUUGUCAUACUCCUCAAGCUGAAAGUUUCAAUCAAAAGGUAGGGUUCAGAUCCCAUGCAAAAUCUAUCUACUAACAAUUAAUCAAACAUUAAUGAAAUAAAUAAAUAAACCUUUACCGCCCAAAUGCGAAGCUUAAAGUAAUUUGUGACAUAUGAGGCCCUGAACACCGGCUCAAUCUCUUUCACUGUGCAGCCAUGGGAGGCCAGAAGCUUGCGAUACUCUUCAGACACAUCCGGCAAGACAACCACAACCAGGGGGUACUUGCUCAUCCUUUUUUUCAAGCCCUUGGCCAACCCAACCACACCGAACAAAGCCUCGUCAUAGUCUCCAGCCAACAUGGUCACAUAGGCCCUCCUGGGUUCAUUGGCUGCCGAGAACGCACCUUGAGCUUUCCUAAUGACACAACACAUGAGAGAGAGAGAGAGAGAGAGUUAGUCCAGUUAACCAAAUAAAACAAGAAAAGACGAAAAACAAUUGGAGAAAGAGCAAUUAACUUACAGAUCUAUGUGCAUGAUGGCAAGCCGACGACGAUAGGUCUGAGAUCGGAUGUCAUCGUCGUCGCCAGCGAGUGGGAACUCCACGAGGUCUCUGUGGGGAUUGGCGCUCGACAUCUUUUGUAGACUUGUAGUGGGAGAAGGGUUAAAGCUUUGGUAUUUGUUUUGAAGAGAAAGGUUUUGGAUCUCUCGAGCUCGAGGUUUUAAGCUAUAUAGCUGAUGGCUUGGAGAAUGUUGUGCUUUUGAGGUAGGGGUGGUUGGGUUUAUAUAGGGAAGGAAAUGGUGAAACUUAGGUUUAACUAUGGUUAAAGACGUGAGUUGGGGGUAUUAAACGUCCCUCAAAGAUUCCCAGAAGAAAGCUACAUUUUCAACCCAUAUGGCAACUCAUUUCACUUUGGGAUAUUCUUUCUAACGUAGCUCACGUGUCCAGUUGUAUGGCGUGUGACCUCGUAGCAGACGGCCGACCUUCCUUCUCCUACAAGCAAACAAACUCCCUGUACGGCUGACCUGUGCCUCAGCCCUUUUGAUUUCUUUCUCCAUGCUCUCUUGUGCUGAUCAGUUUGUGCUGAGCAGUUGGCUCCCUCUCUUCCAAGCCCCAUUUUUGAAACCCUGAAUUUCCAUAUCCUCUCCCUCUUCUCUCCUCCUCCACCCACCAACACCAUACCUCAGCCUCCAUCUCUCUCUCCCUAUCUCUCUCUCUCUCUCUCUCUCUCUCUCUCUCUCUCUCUCUCUCUCUCUCUCUCUCUGUCUCUCUCAGUUCGGCUUUUUCUUUUCUUUUUUAGGCAUCGUUGUCAUGUACAAAAGUUUGGCAUGCGGUCGGUCGGUCGAUCAACAUAUGUAUUCGUCUCUGAUAUACCAAAGCAAAAAUAAGACAAACAAGAGGAAGUUUUUUUAUAACCAUGUUUCAGUACGUGUUAUGCAGCUGAAUAUGCAGCUGAAAAUAGAUUAUACUUCCUCUAAUUCUAUUGUAAAAGAUAAAAACGGAAUUUGUGGGAAGCUGAAGAUAAAAAUGGAGCAUCCGACAAAAAAGUUUCAAAAAACAAAGAAUAAAAUAUGAGUAAUGCUAUUUAUGUCAGGUUUUUAUACCAUGUUUUCAUACUAAGUUAGGUGACAUCUGAUGUGGCCAGCCACGUCAUUUAAAAAAUUUGCAAAACCAAGGAAAUGAAAGAGAAAGAUUCCUCGUAUACCACAAUCAUCAUUUAAUUAAUUAGUUUUUCUUAAUUAUUAGUUUAUUAAAUAAUGAACUAAAUUUAAAAAUUUAAUUAAGAUGUAGCUGUCUAUAUCAAUGCCAGCUAAGGUGAUAUAAAAAUAUGAUACAAAAACAUAGUAUAAAUAUGAUUACUCAUGAAACAUGUUUAAAUAUAACUCCACUGCCAGCCUACCACCCUAACCACCAACCAGAGAUUGAUAUGCCUAACAAGUAACCGCUCCUCCUACUGUCCGUGUCCUCGCCGCCUGAAUGUUGACAUCACCACUGUGCUCAUGCUUUGCCAUGUUGUAUACGAGAGACACAAUUAACUUUGUAGAAACUACAGUAGAGAAAAUUAGCUGUUACCCUCCAUCAAAGAUUUUUCCUAAGUAUAAUUUUUUUAUACUAUUUACAGGGGACGAUUUAAACUCUGAACAUAUUAGGAUAAAGAGAAAUACCUUAUUUACCAUGGCAAUCCACCUUUUGAAUUUUUUUUUUAAAGUGUGUUAUUAGUAGCUUUUUGCUACUUAGUACUACGGUCUAGUGACAUUCAUCUUCACUUGUAACUGAGAGGUCUUAGGUUCGAUUCUCGGUAAAGGUAAAUUUGAACCACAUUAUUAUUAGUUAAUUAUGAGGCUCACCCCAUUCUUCCACCCCUUAGUGUAGCUAAUAUCGUUUGUUCAAAGAAAAUAACAGCUUCUUUGGUUUUUAUACUAGAAUAUUGUGAAACGGAUUUGAGUCAUGUUACAUAAUUGUAGUCAUAAUUAUAAAUCGAACUUAUUAUUUUUGUGAGUUGAGCUCGAGACCUCUUACUUACAAAUAAAAAGAAAUAUUGUUAGAUUGUAACGUUAUUUGUUACACUCUAUGAAGAUUUUUUUUAAUACAUACGAUAUUAUCUACCCAAGGGAUGGAGGAGUGAGUAAAACCUCACAAUGAGCUAGCUAUAAUAAUUUCGCUCGAAUUCGCCUUUGGCGAAAAUCGAACCUAAGACCUCACAAAUGAAGAAAGAUAUCACUAUACUAUAGUACUUAGUGACUAAACUCUAUGAACAUAUUAGCUAAUCAUAUUUUUCAUAUUGGAAACUUAAUAUUUAUGUCAUAUUUCUAAUUAAAGUGUGGUCUACUUAGAUCAUAGGCCGUAUUUCUUUUAUUUUCCUUUUUUUUUGUUAAAAAAAUGGAUAUAGGUAGGAUAUUAUUUUGGUAGCACCAACAAAAGAAUUAUGGGAAUUUUAACGAAAAGUUUUCAGUACUGUUCACUUUAACGAAAAUCACAUUUUCACACUAAAAAAUUAAUCCUGAUACUAUUCAUUUUACCAUUUAUUUUGUCAUUUUCGUUAAAAAUCAAAGUUUUCAAGCGAUUUUCAUUAAUUUUCCUAAGAAUUAUAUCCAACCGUUGUAUAUUUGAUUAUAUUAAAUAAACGUAAGUAUCGUAGUUAGUUCCUUCUUCAAUUAAAGAACAAAAAAUAUUACCUUUUAACAUGAAGACGAAUCGGUUGUUGGAAUUUACCUUUGAUCAAACGAAGAAUCUAUGAGAACAAAAACUACAUUUUGGGUUUGGGAUAUUGUGGCAGACGGUCGACCUUCCUUGUCAUACAAGCAAACCAACUCCCUUCACACGCUGCCAACAUUCCCAUUUUUGUUUAAGAAAAAAAGUGCAAGCAUUUUCGCCUUGGAUGAAUUUGUUUUUAAUCUAGUUCCUUUAAUUUAACCGUUAUCUACACAGUGCAAGCAUAACAAAUAUAACUUUCUACCAACAUAUUACCGCAGUGAAAUGAUAUCAUUUUUUUUCACUUGUAAGUGAAAAAUGUUCAAUACAAAUCUUAUGAUAAUGAGUUCGAGUCAAUUUAUUCUUAUUCCUAAUGUAAAUAUAUCGUUGUAUCAACAAAACCAAAUAUAACUUUUCUUGAUUUUCAAAUGAACAAUGCUUUGGUGACGUUAUUUUAGUGACACAAAAUUGUAUCUUAGUUUCACAUUAUAUAUUAUUAUUAACAUAAUGAUAUAUUCAUAUUAAAGACUAUGAGAAUAAAUUAAUUUUGAACUCGCCAUCCACGAAAUUAAAAUUUAAGACUUCUCACUUACAAUAAAGAGGAAAUCAUUAAACAACCGUAGUAAUAAGUGAUUAGUUUCAACUUAUUAGAAGAAAACUUUCAUGACAAAUUGACAUACAGAAUGUGACCCAUAGUAAAUUUUUUUUGGGGAAAAAAAAUAAAAAUCAACUAACAGGCUGGUAAUUUGCUUAAAAAGAAGAAAAGAAAAGAACAAAGAAGUCAAUCUUUUUAACUUUGCGCUUAAUAUGCUUAAUUAAUAAGGAAAACUAAUGAAAAGAGUUUGAAAAUUUUGAGUUUUAACGAUAAAGACAAAAUAAAGGGUAAAGUGAAUAGUAAUAUGAUUGACUUUUUAGUGUAAAAACCGAAAGCUUUUCGUUAAAGUUCCCUAUUUAAUAUCAAUCAGCUUGUUAGCUGACCUUUUAAUGUAUAAUAAAUAACUAAAAGACUCACUUUUUUAACAAAAGAUAAUAUAUACUGAGGGGAGAGUGAACUAAGCCUCACACUAGGCUAGCCAUAAUAAUAUUAUUCAAAUUCACCUUUAACUAAAAUCGAACCUAAAACCUCUCAUUAACAAGUGAAAGAAAAAAAAAUCACUAGAGCAUACAAGGAAAAAUAAAACAAAUCAAAAGGAGUAGUUUUUUUUUUUUUCGAGGUGAAACAUUAUUGGAUUUGGUAGAAAGCAACAUGCAGGCAUACAAUUUUUAAACAAAGCGUCAUACAUAAAUUAAAUCUGAUAAAUGUUCAUAAUAACAAUUAUCAGAUGAAUAAACAUUAGCGAAAUUGCAAAGAGAGUUUAGAGAGAGGCCUGCCUAGGGUUGGGCACGGUCCACUUCCGUCCGGUUCCAAUUUGGUUUGGUUUUCCUAAUUUUGACUGUGAGAACUGAUUGAACUGGACCAGACCGAUUCCGGUUCAUAGAUUAAAUAGACGGCUGGAUCGUAAAAAUACAUUGCAAAAUGAACUUCACAAAAACCAUAUGUCAAAAACAUAAGUCUCCAAAUUCUAACUCAUCAAUGUAUUAACCAAACCUUGUAGGUAUUGAUUAUUGACCAACUAAGUACAAUUUUUGUGCCCUUCAGAUUUUAGGGGCCCCGGGGUUGGGGGACAAUCUUCAAUAGUAAUGGACAGACAUGCCUUAAGCAACAAGUGAGAAAUGUUACUACAAAAAUUUUACCAAUGAAAGGUUUCUUGACACUAACAAGACCAAGUUCAAAACAAUUUCCUGUACAGGUAGUAACAGUGUUGCCACAACCAUAGCCAUGAACUACGUGCAAGCUCUGUUGCCAUCCUACAUCUCUCAAAGAGCCAAGCAAAAAAGAAUGGUGGAUACUGUAAAUUAAAAAGAAUUUCUAAAAGCGUGAUCAUAAACCCGCAGCAUAUGAAGAUGUUGAACCGGCAAGAAAGUGGGAGAAUAACUAGCUCAACCCUUCAUUUCCCUCAAUCAUAUGUGAAGUGUGAAAACGAAUUGCCUUCAGCGUGAUUGGAGAAUUCCGGACAUUCUAGCUUUCAGCCAGUAGAAGUUGUUAGAGCACUCGUAAAACCUCAAUCCGGCUCAAAAUUUAGUAAGAGGGGCCCAUUUGUGGCAUUCCAAACGGGGGCAUUGGCGGCAUUCCCAUCCCUCCCAUUGGUGGCAUUGGUGGUGGAGCAUAACCUCCCAUUCCCGGUGGUGCAGGCAAAGCAGGAAGCAACUGAGCAUACAUAUUCUGCAGGUCGUGCAAAGACAAUUAGUUUAAGAAAUCCUCUCAAUAAAACAAGGAUAAAGCAAAUAGAAAUACCUGCUGAGCAACCAGUUCCUUCUCUUCUUUCUCUUUGGCUUUCAACUCGUUUUGAGCUUCAAUUUUGUCCUUGAUAAGUUCAUCCACCUUACCUGUGUACUCUCGGAUAAACUAGAGAGAACAACAGAAGACUGAGUGAGGAACAAUUGAAAGGUAGCCAAUGGAUAAAGGACAACAGAUAUAAAAACAUACCUGCAGGAGGUAUGGUAAGGCAAAAUCAAUUAUAUUGUUCAUCCACGCAAGCUCAAGAGCAACAUCUGGCCGGAUCAUAUCAUAACAAACAAAUAGGCAUGCAGCAAAACACUCCUUCUUUCCCUGCAUAUUCAUUACAGAAGAACAUGAUUACAAAACCACAUCAAAAAUUAAUACUUUACAAAGAGAAAGGGAUGGAAGCAUGGACUGAACCGCCUUCUUUAAUUCACGAGGUGAGAAGAAGAAAAGAAUAAAUGAGUAUGUUUGAGCAGUAAAAUCCUUGCUUUAUUUGGCAUGCAUGAGCACUCUUAGAGAAUAAUUAGUGCAUAAAAAGAACACAGACCUGCUCAAUGAAAUAGAUAAGUAGUUCCUCCGAAAGUUCAUGAUCACCAGACUGUGAGCACGUCUCCAUGCAAUCUUUGUAAUGAUUGUCUUUCUUUGACAAUGCAAUGGAUUGCUUCCAUCUGCCAGCUUUCUUGUAAAUGUAUGCAGCAACGCGUCUCAUCUCAAGAAGUUCAUGUUUCUCAAGCUGUUCAUUUGCAAUUUUGCAUCAAUAACAAAUAAUUACAUGUCUCAGUCAAAUACUUCCGAUGUAUGAAAAACUUCAAUCUCACCUUUUGAGCAAGACCUAUCUGAUCAAAGCUGUCGUGCAAAUCUAUUGAUUCACGAAGCCUGUCAUAGUCUUCCUCCUCCAUGUAUAUUUCAUUUAGAGCUUCAUUCACAGCAGUUACAUUGUUGCUCUGAACUGCAACCAUGUAUGGCUUUAUCAGACAGAUGUGACCAGCCUGAAACCCAAAAGGAUUGAACAUGUAAGCACGAAAGAACCAUUUACAAACCCUGCCAGAACAGAAACUUGGUAGCAGAGACCAAUAUCAAUGACGUCAUGUGACAGAAGCAAACCUUUCUCAUUAUAUCCACCACUCUGGUGUGAUCCACACGAAGCGCAAUCACAUUAAGAACAUCAUUAAUAACAUCAGGAUGUUCUUCCAAGUAGAAGUGUACAGCCCUAUAGUAGAGUUCGACACUCGCAACUUUGACAAUAACAUCCUUGAAUUGCAUGUGGUCCCAUGCUUCUGGGGAGUGGUUCAUUAUGGUAGUUGCAGCAUUAUCAAACUCAUCAUAUUGGACAUAUAAGUAUGUUAAUUCUUUCCAGUGCUGCUGUUCAUCACAAGCUCUAAUAAGCUUGGGAAUGUUGAGACGGGUAGAGAAUAAUUUAAUGUGCUCCAUAAGCUUCUCAGGACGGUAUCUUGCAUAUAGAACUCCUAAUUCUGUAAAGAUGCCCAUAUGUGCACGCUCCAAUCCUAGCCCACUCUCCAUAAGACUAAUGAGCUCAUUAAAGCAUCCCCUGUUCUGGUAGUACUCACAGACCUCUUCCAGAUCAUCCACCUAAAAUUAAACAUGCUUAAGUAAGAAAUAAUCAAAAGUAUAAUUGAGUAACUAGUUAAUUGUGUCCUAUGGUACAUAGACAGGUGCGGCAAUCUGCAGUGCUUACAACUUAACAAAAACUUAAUCAAAGAAUACGCACAUCCCAUCUUGGGAGACAUCUUAAUAAACAAAAGCAUUAUAUAUAACUUCGUGAAGACAGGCGAAAUUAACAUAAACAGGAAAUGCUACCUGGAUAAUGAUGUUGAGUCCACAAAUCUGAGCUAAGCGGAAUUCCUCAGCAUCCACACAUGCAAAGCAAACAAACUUCCACGUCUUUGAGCUGUUAGCUUUCCGAGCUGCAUCAACAGCACCUUGAAACUGAUUUAGCUUCACAAGAGUGCAUGCUAGUUUACCCCAGUUAGAAAUGAAUGCAAAUAUGAUCUUGGCUGCUUCGUAUAGGGUUUCAUCAAACAAGCGAUCCCCAACAUUUUGGAGAUUGGCAACAUUUGGCAUCAGAAUGAACUCUUCAAUAUCACCAAGCCGAUCAAUCUUAGCAUAAGCAUAAAUAAGUUCACUGUCCACCUUCGGCUCCUUGGUCUUCUGCCUGACCAUCAGAAGGUAUCUUACCAAGUCAUGAUAUACAUCUGCAUCUUCAGAAGCACGUAUGACCUCCAAAAAGUGGGUGGCAUCAUCUGCACGGAUGAAUGACUCGAUGGCAUCACUCACUAAUCCCUCUCGCAGUUGAGCCUUGGCCACCUGGCUCCAAACAGCAUCUUCUUCAACCCGGAAUGCAAACUCUACAGCUCGGUCAAUGCUCUGUAUGUUGUCCAACAGGACAUUCACAGCAUCAACAUUCAAAUUGAACUUCUUGAAGAUUGCAAAUGCUUCUUCAUACAACUGAGCUUCUACAGCCAUUACUCCAACUGCAGGUCCAUCAAAGUUGUCUAAUCUAUUGAUGUAGUCCAUGACUCUGGAUGGAUCAGCUUUGAUGGCAGUCAGAAUCAAUAGAUUCUGCAAAUUGAAGUUCCCACUAAAAGCAGAAUUUUGAAGCACUAUCUUUUCAAGAAGCUCAAUCAACUCGUGUGGGAGGUCUGCAGUCAUAAAUGCUUUAACAGCUGAUGAUACUUGCUCAGGACUCUUGCUUUCAGGCAAGGCAGUAGAUACAACUUGAUCGAUUAGCUGCCUUCUAUAUUCAUUUUCAGGAUCAAGGACCUUAGCCCAGAGAUCAUCAUCCAUUCUUUCCACAACAUAUCUGACAUGCACGUAUCAAGUAAAUAGCAUAAGGGAGGAGCCACAUACAAUAAUGAUCCAACAACAUCUUACUAGCAAACAGAAACAUACAAACCUGGCCUGGAGUUUGAACAAAGAAUUUUUAUUUGUAACGUUAACAAGUUCAUCAUCGCAUUGCCCUCUACGGUAUGCGACAACAGCAAGGGUAGGAUCCCUUUUUUCACAAUAUUUACCAACAACACGAGAAUCAUAGUAUGGGUUAGUUGUGAGAAAAUGCUCAGGAUUGUUGCCGCUAUCUAUGAUGAUUUUACCCAGAGCAUUAUGGACAUGUACAUCUUGGCUUCCCUCACUCACAAGAUGCUCCAAGAAUUGGGUGAGCAAGCGAAGACGAUUCCUGCAAAUAGAAAUCACAGAAAUGAUAAGCAACUAAUAUGAAUGAUGAAGGGUAAACAGGGUCAUAAAGAGAUCACUACACCUCUUUUCACAUUCCUCGACAAGGGGCUCAACCGGUAGAAGAGAACGAACUGAUAGAAUAAGACCUUUAAUGAAAUCUUCAGGGCAUUCAUCAUCCAAUAGCUGCCCUACAACUAAAGGAGCAUUUCCUGGAUUGACCUAUCAAACCAAAAAUGGUAUAUAACGAUUGAUGCUCAAUUUGAAUAAUAACAUUGACAAGGCAUGAGAAAGCUAACAGGAAACCUGCAAUUGGUAAGAAAGAAAUUAAAAUGAUAUAAAGCCUCCAAGUAUGAAUACCUUUUGGACAUAACCUUCAAUGUAACGAAGCAUAUUGUUUGUAUACAAAUAAUGGGUGAGAUCUGGAACGAAGCCAAAACGAUCACAGACAUUAAUCAGAGGACGUGCGUCUGGAAGCUUUGCUUCCAUUAAAAAGUUCUUAGCUUUUUCAGGGUCAUAAAAAUUGGAUUCCCGUGUCACACGCUCCACCUCCUUAAUCUGUCCAGUUUUUGCAGCUGCUUCAAUGUACUUGAAAUGAAUAUCAGGAUCCUCACUGUCCAGAAAUGAUGAAUAAAUGAAAGGGACAAAGAAAAAAGAAUCUCAUAAAACUUGCGGAGGUGUCAUGUUUAAACUUCUCUUCCACUAAAAGAAACUGAUACCUGGAGCUCAAAUAUGCGCCUAGGAAGAAGUACAGCCCCUCAUAGGACUUGAACUGCUCAAACAAUUUUAUGCACUUAUCUACACCCAGUUGCUCGGAAUACUCUUUGGCGGUCUGCACGAGAUGAUCAGGUAAGCCUCAACUUUAUAAACUAUGAAAGAGCAAUACUGGUAAAAAUUUAAAUAAAUAAAAAGCACUUUACCUGUACAAUAAUCUGAAGAUUGCCCCUAAGAUUGACCAGCAGAAGAUCUUUCAUGCACUCAAGAGCCCAUUCUACAGAAAGAGUUCCAAAGAACUCGACAAGAGCCUAACACACAUAGGAGUUAGAGAUAUACUACAUCACAUACUAUCAAGUUAUAAAGAAAUUUAAGUGCCAACCUGAGGGUCAAUUGCAUGUGUGUUCACGAUGACACGUUUGAUAUCAGGCAACUCAGUGUAGUGCUGCGCAUUAAAGAUGCCAUUGGUUAGGAAAAAAAUUAUCAUUUUUAAAUGAAUAUUCAUCAGAAUCCAAGAACUACUGUACCUGUAGGGCACGCAAAUACAAACCAGCUUUUUCACAAAGUUGACCAAUACGUGGGCGAUCAUAAUGACUGAACAUACCAUUGGCCAAUAUAGCAUCGGCAACAUUUGGAAAAGUCACAAGAUUGAUUUCCAAAACCUAAGAAAAACAUUAUAUGGAGCAGACAUGUGAGAAAAAAUAAAGGAAAAGAAAGGGAAAAGAAAUCAAAGUUUAAGAAAGGGAUUAUGAACCUUUGUCUGAAGGAAUCCAUGCUCAGGUAGAUUCGGCUUCAGAACAUCCAACAAAAAGGCUGUUGCCUCACGGAUCAAGUUCCUCUGAAAAAUAAGAGAAAAUACACAAUUACAAGAAGUCCCAAAACUCAUUCUUCAGGAAAAUAACAAAAUGAAGAACAUAUUCCAACAAAAAAUUGUUGACACAACAUAAAAGCAAUAUUUAAUUUAAACCUGAAGGAACAGAUCGGUGAUGGUAUUGUAGUCAAUGGGACAACCUCCCUCCAUUUGAGACAUCAUUAGAGCAAAAUUAACAGCCCCCUGCCAACAAGAUAGUUGAAGUUGUUCCAAUGUCAGAUAAUUUAGCUCAACCCGUCAGAAGAGCAUGGUAAAUAGUUACAAAACCGCUAUAAAGAGAAAAGUGCCUCAAACUUUCAAAGAAAUGCAUGUACCUGGGGAUCUGCCCGCAAAAUUGUUUGGAGAAGGAACAAAUAAUCAGGUGUAUAUCCAACCUGUGACAAUUUAAAAAUCACAAUAAGAUAAAAAUCCAGUAAGAGCUAUUGGCCAUGUUAUUAAAAAUCACACUACCAAAACUGACACAAUAAUAGUUUUCAGCCCGGAUAAUAUUGCUGUUCAAAAUGAGAGAAUUUGAACAAUUGUAUGUCAUUAAGAUUCUAGUUCAAAGAAAAGCAAAAUUGUGUGACCUGCUUUGAGUAUAUUAAAAUCUUGUCAAAUUCCCUUCUCUCAGCAAAUGCUGCAACAACUUUGGGAGUUGCCCGGGCUUUGAUGUAUAUUUUCAAAGCAAGGUCGUUAUCCACCGUCUGCAUUGUAAAUAUGUUUCAUAAUAUUAGAAUGACAAUAUAACUCAAAAAAAAUCAAGCGGCAGCAGACUCAACAAUGCCAUUGUUGAGUAAAAGUUGAAAAGAGCCCUCUAACAUGAUCCUCUCCUUUCUCUUUUAAGGUUAGAUCAAUUUUGUUUCAGACCUUCACAAGAUCUCCAAGCUCUUCACUACAUUCUAGCUUGUCCUCUGCUAGCCAAUUCUCCAAAAGAUUCUUUUUGUUCUGAUUUACAACUAAACGUGACAGUUCCAAUGAUUCAUAAGCAUUGAGUUUUCCUCUAGUUAAAAGAGUUCCAAAAUACUGCAAUAACGGUGGGGUUUGCCCAGCUUGCACAGGAACGCUCUGCAAAGAAUAAAUAAAGUGUGUAAAUUAGAUCCUGAUUCAAAGAUUACAUGGUCUUGUAAAGGAAGCACAAUACUUCCAAGGUAAUCUAAAGGUCACACUGAGAAGCACAAGAACUAUGAAGAAUAUAUAUGUAUAUAAGCUGACACGUGAAUAAAAUAUCAGAAUGCUAUACCUGAAAUUUAGCAACAGUAUCAGGAGUACGGAGUAUUCCCAUUGGAGAUUCCGCGGCAAGCUCUGUAGCCUCCUUAUACUUUGUCUGAGAAAACAGUUCUUGGAACCGCUGGACAACCUGAGCACAACAACCAUAUAUUGUAGUUUCAAGAUAUCACCAAAGUGCAAACAGAAAACAAUUGUGCAUUCAUAUUCUCAUACUUUUUGAACACCCACAAAGACUUAAAUUACAAAAUGCACCAUAGAACUUCCCAGGAAAAGGUUGUUUCAAGAGGGAAUAUAGGGAUCCGAUUUCUAUGUAUCACUACAUACUGAUUUCCACACAUAUGGGGGAAAGACACGCACCACAAAAACCCACACUAUUGUUACCGAUUUCCUUCUUCGACACCACAAGCAAUGACAACAACUAAGAUAAAUGUGCCAAUUGUCAGAAAGUUAUUACAAAAACCAACUGCAAUCGUUACCAGGUCCUCAGCACCAGGAAGGUUUCCUCUUUUCGCAAGACUCACUGCAAGCCCCAAAUUAUUCAACUGCAAAAUCCCCAAACAAUAAAUUAAAGACCUAACAUUUUCUUUUCUCCAGUAGUCAAAUGCACAAAAAACGACUCAAAAGCAUACCUGACCACUAACAAAAGGUACAAUUGUUUGUUCAUUUACAGUGGCAAGUAAGACCUGGCCUCGCCUAUUGACUGCAUAAAAACCCCCAACGGUUGAAGCUUCAGCUGUCAAAAAUAUAGGAUCUGGACUGAUUCGAUUUCUAUAAACUGCAGUUGCUGUCUCUAGGUCAUAUACAAAUAAAAGUCCAAGCUUUGUGAUAACAUAUAUCAACCCAUACUUUUCCGAUAUCUGAAAUCAAGAAGAGAAAAAAAAAAUGUAGUUUGAUUGAUAGGUAAACAUAUGUUUAAAUCAAAGUAAUAACAACCAAAAGUAAGACCUGCAUUGAUACUGGAAAGUCAUCAGCAAAAUCCGGAGGAAAGAAUAAAUCUGCUUGCUUCUUAGUGUAUGAUGGUUUUCCUGAUGCCAAUUCACAGUAAAUGUUAGAUCUGUGCGAUGUGCACUAAUAUAUUCUAAACGGAAUCCGGUGAAGAAGCAGUGUACCUGGCUGGGCACCAAGCUCAAUUACAUGCAUCUUUGAUGUAACCUGUCCAGCAUUGGAGGACUUUGAGGCAAAACUAAUAAGAAUUGAUGGAUGCUCAUUCCCAGGAACCUGCAUGUAACAGAAAAUUAAGUAAGGGAAUAUAGCACACAGUAGUAAACCGCAUAUAUUUAAGCCAAGAGAAAGUGAGAAAGAAGUAUGGCACCGCACUUUAUAUGUGGCAAACGAUGCAGCAUGUGCUUCAAGAGCCUGACUACGUUUCUGUUCCACAGAAAAAAGCUGCAUAUUUCCUUUGACAAGUUGUGGCCUCUACAGUCAUUUUGGCAGAAGCAAUAUGUUAAUUGUUAAAGAUGUCACUAAAUCUGGUAAACCAUAAUUAGUUCCAUUCUCGUUAAAUUAUAAAAAUGAGAUAAAAAAUAAAAUUGAAUAAAUAAAAAGAAAAAAAAUCUUAUUUUCAAUAAAGUAAUUACAUAGUUCCAAGUAUCAUUGAAAAUAAAACGGAUAAAAUGCUGAAGUAUAAUGGUGCAACUAGAACAUCUUAUCUAAUCCCGGCUCCCAUGAAUUGAAAACAACACAACAUUUUGACCACUCUUCUAAAUCUUUUAGCAACUUCACAACAAAGUAAUAUGAAAAAAUGGCAAUAAGAAGUCAUGUAAAAAUAUUAACAUAGAAAAAUUAUUUUCAUACAGUUAUGUACAAUUAUAAAGGUGCCAGUUCACACUCCAAAUUUAGAAUCCAUCGACAGGAUUACAGACACAGAAGGAGUACAAAGGCAAAAUAAGCGAACAACAAGAUAAGCACUCACCUCUGCUGAACCAGGAGCAAUUCCAAUUAAGACCAACCAUUUUUCCGAAGGAUCACAACGGUAGUUGAUUAUUUGAUUGUUAGCCAAAUUAGCUGUUCGCUCAAAGACCUUUGUAGGCUCGGAUUCACCUAAAAGUAAAAUAUAUUUAAAACAUGUGCAAAAAUAUAAGAGUAAAAAACCUCAUACGGAGAGAUGAAAUAAUGAGAAGAAAAUAAAAUAAAAGAAACCAGAUUCAAGGAUAUGAAAAGACGUCUUACCUUCAAUUAACCAAUGAUAUACUGAGGUCUGCGUGACCAGACCCAGCAUCUUUGGAGUAAUCCACUUCCAAAAGACAAUCUACAAAGAACGAAACAAAGAGCAAACAGAAAAAUUUAGGAUUACAACCAGUUACCAAAAUAAAAUUAUAAAUAAAGAUUGUAAACGUUCACAGCAUCAAAUUCGACAUUGUGAAUGCCCUAAAAGGGCAAGAUCAUCACCUGCUCAGGCAUCUGAUGUGAUUUCAUCUUUGCUUUCAUUUCAAUGUUAAAUAUUUGUAAAUGGUCCUGAGUUGUUCCUUGAACUUGAGCUACACAUUGAAUUCAGCCAUCGAUCAGCGGGCGGGACAAUCACCACAACAACAAAUAACAAGAGAAAAAGACAAUAACAUCAACAACUGAACACAAAAUAUGACGGUUUAUAAACAAUUCAACUCAAAUAAUAAACGAAUUUCAAUAAUGCUCCCUGCUCGCAAAUUUACCAAUCAUAAAAAAAUGGAAAUGCAUCCGGUAUAUGAACAGAAAUCACACGGUUCCAAUAUACAUUCACAGUGAAACUGAAGCACACACUGGAAUUGCAUCACAACAUUAAUUUCAAGAAUUCAAAUCAUACCUUUUAGAGCAAGAAUUCUGGAAUUGGGAUUCAUCAAAGCCGAGUCGGCGGUAAUGGGUCGACGCAAUGGCUGCAUGGGCAUGCUCAUAUCGAUGAUAACGACGCUAUUCUGCGGCGAUGUCUCCCUAACACAAAUGUACUUAUCCGAUUCCAUAGUCACAUGCGUAAACGUAAUGAAUUGGGGAUUGAUCCCAAUACUAGGCAACUGAAAAACCACACAAAAUUCAAAUCAACAAUCACCAUCAUCGCACUCGAUCACUCAAACGCAUUGCCAAAAAUCCAACAAAAAAUGCACAAACUUGCACAGGUAAACGCCUGAUUUAUACAUAAUUCGCAAAUGGGUCAGUGGGAAACAGAGUGAAAACGCAGUUCUCAAAAGGAUCUAGAUCGAUCCAAUGAGGCAUUGGAUCAAACGACGAAAACCCAGAAAUGGUUUGAUGAAAUUAGGAUCGAGAUGAAGGUGGCAUUACCGUGAGGGCCUCUUUCAUCGUCAUGGGGGCGUUAGCGGCGGCCAUGGUGCCCGGGUCGGGGCUUUGGUAGGAGGACCCGAUAAGCAGAGAAGAAUGUGGCACAGCAGAACCUUCUGCGUGUGGAUUUGCAGAGGAGAGAGAGAGAGAAAGACUGUAUGUGGAUCUUGUAGUAUGGGAAUGUAUGCAGAAGAGGAGGAGCUAUAGUAUGCGUCUUUUGUCGCGCAAAAUUUGUGAAUCGAUUGCUAAGUGGGGUUGUACGUUGAGAAUGUAAUGCGUUAGUCGAGUGCACCUGUCAACGUACAAUACAGGACUGCUUUUUUUGUGUGCAUGUCAUUUCAGUUAAUGAUUUUAUUUUAUUGUUUGUUUGUUUUAUAAAUACGUGUUUACGUAAUAAGUAAUACAAAUGUGAUACAUAAAUAUACUCUUCUUAGCAAUACUUAAAAUUAUAAGAAGCAGAUGGGGGGUAAGACGCGAGAUGUAGCGCAGUCUGGUGAGCCCAUUUGUUUUGGAGAGAUGUGGCGCUGUCUGGUGAGUCCAUUUGUUUUGAAGAGUAUACAGAGGUUUUCGAGGUGCUAUUUAUAAAAUAAAAUGACUUUUAGGUUAAGUUAUUAGAAAUCCCUUUAAAGUGCUGAUAAUUAAUUACAAUACGAAAGAAGAAAGUCAUUUACUAUAUGAAAGGAUAAUAGUAAAACUAAAUGCACUUGUAAAUUAGACAAGUUGAUCAAUGCAGUGCUGAGGGCGUGUUUAAGUACAGUUAAUGACAAAUUAGGUAGUAUGCAAGGUAUGUUUACGUAAAAUCAAAUUAUUAAGAUAUAGUACCAUAUAUUCCAUAUACAUCAUACAUUCCAUCGUCAUUGGUCAAACAUAUUCAUCAUCAUUUGGUAUCAAUGUGGGUCGUGGAAUGCGAAUUUUCAACCAAUAGUAGCAAAAAUUGUUUGAUGUUGAACAACUAAUACAUAGACUUGCUACUUAAGAAACCUCUAACACUUUGUAGCUAAGAAACCCCACAAAACAUCUUCUUCUUUUUUUUGUUCCUUUAUGUAACUUUGUGAAACUGUUAAAAAAAGUUGUAAAUGUUACUGUUUUAAUUUACGGCAAAGGGAGGAGAGAGUUUGACUAAAGACAGAGAGUUGAAGAGGCUCUAUUUGUCAAUAAAUUGGGAUGUAUUGUGCAAAAUGUAGCUGUAACGUAAACAAUUAGUCUAGUUGAUGAAGAUAGAGUGAUCGUCUUUUCAACCUGAAUUCGGGUCGCUUCCCCAAAUAUUAGUUUAGAAUGUUGAAUUAUGAAAGAGGUUUUUUUUUCAAGAAAAUAAAAUAUUUAGGGGAAGUUGGGCUUAUUUCACAGGCCGAUUGAUUUUGCUGUGUGGGCUUUUUGACCGCUAUGUGGGUACUCUAAUAGUUUAAGCUUGGGGCGCCCUUCUACGAAGUACGAGCUCAUUGGGCCAGUUGUUUUUUCUCAAUAUUUCCCCUGGCCCUUGAACUAUUUUUAAUUUUUAUUUCAAAAUAAAUAACAGAAUUGUUGCAACAGUUCGCAAUCAAAUUAGCUUUACAUAAGAGACUAAUUACUCGUUUAAAAUAUUUUUAAAAUGAUUGAAAAUACUUAAAAAUAUAUAUUUUUGAGUUCUAAAAACACUUGAAGUGCUUUUCCAAGAUUCAUUUGUAUUUUUGCUAAGGAUUGGUACCAACAACAUUUUUAUUAAAAACGCUUUCAACAUUUUAAAGUGCUUCCAAACGAACCUUAAGUAUCUAUCACUUAAUUAGUUAAUUCUUUGCACUCGAAAUUCCAAUAUUUAAUCCCAGUAUCACCAAGAGACAUGUGUGCGAAAUAAUAAUUCAUUUAAACUUUGGUGUUUAACUUCAAAGCGUACUGUUAUCCGUUUCCAUAACAACAAAAAAAAAACAAAAAAAACGUAGCAUUAUCCACCUUUAACAUUAUAGCGUUUUCAGCCCAUUAAAUUUGAGAAAUGAUUUAGACGCAUCAUUUUUAUCUUUUCUUGCACUUGUUUCUAGCCACAUAAUUCCAGUCUCAAAACACAAUCAUGGGAACUUUCAUGGCCAAGUGAACUAUCUCAUACGUCAAAAAGCAGUUAUGGUCCUUGUCGAACUGUUUAAAAAAUCAAGUCGUUUGUUUGUAAAUUGUAGUGCAUCGUCUGCUCGUUUUCCCACUUGUUUCUUCUUCGUCAAGCCCACUUCAAUAGAAAAAUUAAUGAAAAUUGUUUGAAAAUUUUGAAUUUUAACGAUAAAGACAAAAUAAAAGGUAAAGUAAAUAGUAUCAUGAUUGACUUUUUAAUGUAAAAAUGUGAUUUUUCAUUAAAGUAAACAGAACCGAAAACUUUUCGUUAAAGCUCUCUAUUUCCAUCUAUUAUUUACGAUAUUUUAGCAAAUCUCUCGUCCUUAUCAACAUUUGAUAGUGUAAUCUUGCUCCGAUUUGCAACCACUUGCAAACUCAACUCAUCCCAAUUGCUCUCACACUAGUCCACAUAAAACAAAGGGUAUAAAAUAUGAUGAUCUUUCAGAGCAGGCCUGACAAUUUCAGCAUAACUCUUAACCUAUCACGAAACGAUACGUGAAUAAUAAGUUUUGGUUAAUCGGUUAACGAGUCAAGUUAUUAAUGAGUCACUUGUUAAGAACACGUUAACAAAUUUUGUCGCUAUCGGGUCAUACAAUUAAUAACUUAUUAAGAUAACGGAUAUAACAUGUAAAUAACACGAACACGGCCCAUUUGCAAUAGACACUAGACAUGACAAUAUCUUACAUGACUCAUUAACUUGACACGAAACAACAUAACCAUUAACAAGUCAUGUCAUGAUCGAGUCGUCUAUUAAGACAACAAGUUUGACACGACAUAACCCGUCAAGAUAACAUGUACAUCAAGAAAACGACAUGAACAUGACAGAUACAAACCAUUUGCCGGAUCAUUUUUAGAGUACAAAUACGUAUUGAGCACAAAUAUUUAGAAAUAACUCAUCAUUGUCUGGGGGUUUAAACUACAUCGACGUAGUACGCUCCCGAAGUGGUGCUACACAAAUCAAUUGACCAAAGAUACUUGUUAAUGGGUCGUACUAAUAAUAUUUUUUGUUCAUUUAACCGACCAAGUUAGCCUUUCAGUUUAUGACGUAACAUGACAAACUCGUAACUUCUUAUUAGAGUUUUUAUUUUUUAUUUAUUUAUUUUUAACAAACAAUAUUUUAUAUACUAAGAGAGAAGAGGUUAGCUUAGCCUCGUAAUGGGCUAAUAAUAAUAUGGUUCAAAUUUGCCUUUGACGAGAAUCUAACAUAAUACCUCUCAUUUACACGUGAAGAAAAAUAUUAUUAGACUCUAGUAUUAAGUGACAUACCUUAUUAGAGUAUUUUUAGAUAUGUUUAAGUGAGUUGUUAUUAGCACUCAAAAAGUCUCAUUUUACACUCUUCAUAAAUGUAUUUUUCUUUCUAAUUAUAGAAAGCUUAGUGUACCAGAUAAGAUUUUUGAAGUGUUAAUAACAAUUUCCUAUGCUUAAUUGGGAUUAUUAAUUAGUUCUAGUUUUGGUAUAAAGAAUUUUAAAAAAAUUAUGACCCAAAAAUAAACUUUAACAACAUGCUCCACCAAGAUUGUGAAAUAUAAACAAUAUAACAAAUAAACAGAAUUCGUAAUUUAUUAAAUAUCCCCAAAGAAUAUAAAAACAACAACAACAAUAAUAAUAAUAAUAAUCUGCUUCUACACAAAAUAGACAAGGUUUGACAAUCCCUUCCUCUAUUUCCUACCCUUUCCACCGCCAAGUAUUCCCUUUUCGAACCGCUGGCGCCAACCGCGCACCGCCCAUAGUUAUUAACACCCCGCUCCACUGAGCCACCGCCACUAGAGCUCUCAGUUUCCAAUUCUACCCCUCCACAAUCCGAAUUCUCCCCGCUUGUCCCUUCUUCCUCGCAAGACCUCCCGCCACCUGAAUAAUUCCUCACCACCGUCCAUCCAUCCGAUUCCCAGUUUGCCGCUCCCGUCGUCGCCAAUUUACCAAUUCUAUUCCUAGCAGAAACCUCGUACUCCUCAUCGUCCUCGUCAUCCUUAACGUCGCUUUCAUCGCCGAACUCGGAGUUAGCCCAGUCGAGAACGCAGCGAGGUGACGAGUCGGCGGCGACCGCAUUUGGAGACAGGGAAGCCAAAAAUGGAUGCUGCAGCAACUGAUCGCAGCUCCACCGCUGCUUCGGGUCCCUCCUCAGACACUUGUCGAGAAAGUCGCGACCAGUUUCCGACAACCGGCUCGGGAACCGGGGCAACCCGUCCGAAACCGCGAUCCGAGCCAGCGUCUCCAAACCGCGAUCCUCCCACCCGGGCUUUCCGGUCACCAUCUCGAUAACCGUGCAGCCUAACGACCAUACGUCGGACUCCGGUCCCUGAUAUUGCCCGUUUAUUACCUCCGGUGCCAUCCAAAGCGGACUUCCUCGUGGUAUGAUCCUGGCCGUACACGUGUCAUCCGACAAGAUAAUCGCAGAACCGAAAUCGGCGAGCUUGGCUUGGUUAAUAGCGGGGCCCACCAGGACAUUUUUACCCUUGACGUCGCAGUGAACAAUGCCCUUCGAGUGAACGUCCCUCAGCGCCGCAACGACGCACCAAACGCGCGACCGCAGCGUCGUUUCGUCCACUUCAGCAUCCACUGCGGUGCCACCUGGCAAGUACUCCAAGUGGAGGUUCCGAAACGACGUCGCGGAACCGCUCCCCGGUUCGCACGACACGUCGUCGCUGAGGUAACUCACGACGUGUGGUGAGGAGAGCGACCGGACAAUUCGAAUUUCAUUCUCCAGCGCCUCCAGCUGGCCGGGAAGACACGCGGCUUGAUCGACCGAUUUGGCGGCGAAGACACGACCGUCCUGUUUGCUGACCCCGAUGCUGACGGUGCCGAACGACCCCCUUCCUAUGCAUUUUCCUCGUACCCAAGAAACCGUGUCGUGAGAAUGCUGAGAGUUUGAGUUCAUUUUCCCCAUGUCGGAAUUUUUUUUUGUGUUUUUCUUGUGUCUUUCGAUUUGGGUCCAACUGGGUAUUUAUACGUGCGGGAGAUCCAAACGAAAGUUCGUUGCUUUUUAAUCUUUUAAUUUUUAAUUUGUGGGAAAAGAUAAAAGGAGAAUUAUUUUUCUGUGAGGGUGAGCGAGAGGUGUGCGAUGACGUCAGUGAGGCAUCUUUGCCUCUUGGUUUGUGUUUACGUAGAGAAUGGAUAGUGGGGUGGGGGAACGUACUUGGGUUGGGGAGGUUUAUCCUUAUCCAAAUAACCGAAUUUGUGUUUUGUUUUGAUCUCGGGCCAAUUGUUUAAUCUCCAAUUGCAUACGUCGUAUGUGGAUGCCUCGAAGCCAAUUCAUGUGGUGAUUUUUGAUCUUGGACUAGUGUCGGUAACCAAAGUUAAAAAUUUGUGAAUUUUCGUUUGGCUUACGUUAAAAAAUUGUACAUGAAGCACACAGAUGAAAGCAAUAGACACGUUAAAUGAUAUUUUUGCACCAUGUGCCAGAAAAAUAUCUUUUUUGCAGUUGAAAUUGGGGAUCGGUCUAUUCAAAAGUUCAAGUUUUGGCCUAGUUAAUGAUGAGAUGAUGAUGUCACACUCGAUUUGUCAUUGUCUAAACUCCAAACCGAACCGAAUCAAAAUUGAACUGAAUGCAAAUUGAAUUGAAAAAAAAAUAAAAAAAAUAGAACCGAAUUGUACAAUAACUUCGGUUCGAUUUUCAAUUUUAAUAAAAAAAUCGAACCGAUUGGAACUGAACCCCGUAACUAUCAGGCCUCGACGCCAACUUACUGUUCUUUUUGUGUUUUGUUUUCUUAACGAAAAAAGAAAAAGGAAAAAUAGAGUGGGGGGUGAUGGGGUGGCGGAAGGCAUUGCGGUUAGGUGGGCAACAAGAUCCGGACCCUUUGAUUCGUUGACUUAAAACUAUAUUCCCAAAGUCUUGCUGUUGCGGCUCCAUUGGGUAUCUAUCCAAUAAUACUUACAACUGCCGAGGCUGCAUGGACAUUGAUGCGGACGUGUUACACAGGAUGACAAUUAAACAAAUAGUUCUCUUUUUUUGUUGAAAUUUUGUGAAUAUUAGAGAGGUGGAAAAUUGGUCGCCAAAUAUAUUAGGAGCGGGUGGGGGCUCAACAGAUCACGGAGACAUGGGGAACUUCAGAAGAGGUACAACUGUUUUACAGUGACGUGGCGGGAAAUCGUUGGUCCACGACCGCGCGAGAUAACUUGGUCGGCAACAAAGAUGAGGAACGAGGAUCCUUUCCGGAUUCUCUUUGUGAGAAUCUUAAUGAUCUUCUAAUCACGUCAGUUUAUAGUAUAUCGUACGAUUAAAAAUUAUUUUAAAUACUUUUAUUUAAAAUUAAAUAUAAAUAAUACUUGACAAAAAUUGAUCGUAUGAUAUACAUUAAACAAAAACGAUUUAAAAAUCUCUAGAAUUCUCAAAAAAAAAUUCUAGAGAGAAUCCUCAUUCAAAUAAGGGAUGUCUGUGGGUGGCAGCGAGAAAGAAAGUGAGAGAGGAGUCUGGUGAUGACGUGUCGUUAUCGCGGUCCAUGGAAAAUACUUUGGAUUCAAAUAAUGUAGGGAAUGACAAAUUGGCAUAAAGAGAGCAGCCACCAGCCAGCUAUCCAUAUCAAAUCGAAUCCCGUGGAAAAGGAUGAGGGGAAGGGAGCCCAUAACUUGAAAUGAUGAAACACAUUCUGUGGCUUUUGGCACCAUCCACAUCUUUCUCUCUUCCUAACUAGUUGGCACCACUAUUUGGGACAAACUACAUCAAAAUUAAAAAUGAACAACAAUUUAGUAGAUGGUUUGUAAUUUAGUUGGUUAAAUAUUUUUUAUUCAAGAUUUAUUUGUAGUUGAGAUUUUACAACACGGUGCGUUUAAUUACCAUUGCUUUUAUCUCGUCAAAAGAAAUCUUAACUAUUAAUAGUGAUAUAUAUUCCCGACUGUAUACAAGAUUUGCCUUUUUUGUUUCAUAGUAGAAGGAUAAGGGCCAAAAUAGUAGACAACACUAUAAAUUUGGUGAUUGACAAAUAUGGGGAAGCUUCAAAAAGAGAAGAAAUCUCAGACGGAGUUGGGUUCUUUUGAUGAACUUUAGUUAAUCAAGAAGUAACCGAGCAAGUAGCAAGAAGUUUCGUGAGCACUCUUUUUUGGUGUCACAUGUGACAUGUUAAAGCUAUAUGAUUAAGUUAUUCUUUUUAUGAGAAAUUUUUCAGAAUGUCAAAAACACAGCUUGAAUUAUUAAAUGUCAUACACUAAAUUAAAUUUUCAAUCAAUUGUACUAUUAUAUGUGGGUUUUUUGGACAGUAUUUCUAAUACAUCAAAAAAUCUAUUUGCUCUUACAAUGAGGUUCAUGGGUUUUCAGCCACGUGUUCUAAAGUUUGGUUCAAUGUAAAAGUUGGUGCAAGCUUUUAAGCACAGGAGAAGGACGUGUAGAAAGGCCAAAAAGGGAGUGAGGAUGUAAAGGUUCGUCGAUGAAACUUCAAUUUUUGGGAGAUUGCCUUAAAAGGAAAAAAAAACGUGUCCUUUUUUGCUUAAUAAUAUAUGGCCAGCAGCUCAUGUGUAACAUCUCUCCAAAGUGUCCAACCAAAACCAUACACGGGCCCAAGAAUCAUUUCUCCAAAGUGUUUCCUUUUGCUUGCCCAUCGAUUGUUAUUACGUAUCAGAAAAAUCGAGGAUUAUGAUAACAAUUAAUUAAAAUUAUCAUGAUAGACUGUACAUUGACUUAAUACGUAUAUCGACAAACAAUAUGUGAUUUGAUUUAUUGUUUUUGAAUACAUGAUCUGAUAGCUAACAGAUAAUGAAUGGUUUUGAUCGUAACAUGUGUAUAAUAAAAAUUUGUUAAUUACAACAUGGUCCACAAGGAGAUACACCUCUGAAAUAGUGAAGGAAGUUGAGUUUUCACCACAAAUCAAUUGACCAUGGGGAGUAGUCUAACAUAAUUACUUAAAAGUUCAUGUAAAGUCCCUCAUUUUAUAUGUCGGAUUCAUCUCAACACAGUCUCUCAUAUGUUUCGAAUUUUCAAGUGAAACACGUGAACAACACAAUUAAGGUGACGCAAAGCACAUGUAGCCGUUGGGCUUCAUAGAUGGUACAACUUGCUCUUAUACCAUGACAGAAGUUGAGGUUUCACCAUAAAAUCAAUUGAUAUGGUAGCUGGAAGUGUUGCAUAUUUGUUUGAAGCCGAUGAUUAACCACCAUAAAACCAAUUUUGGACUUUAAGAUUAUACAAUCUAGUUAUAGUAGCUGGAAGUGUUGCAUAUUGUUUAUAGCCUAUGAUUAGUUGUAUAUAAUUAUAAUUAACAAAAACGUGUGUUUGUUUUUUCAAUUGUUUUUGAAGUGAUUGAUAAUCUGAUACAUACAAGGUUUAGUUUAAGUUCAAGUUUGUUCCGAUGGUUCGGACCAAUGUCGUUCAAGUCAAAGACAAUGGAACAUGCAUGAACCCAAAGACGAUUCCAUCUUUUGCGGCUGGCAUGAAAUCCUGACAACUCACAAUGCUUCCUCUUCUUUGUGAUUUCAUAGCUCAUGAGGUUCGUGCAUGCACGCAUUGUGUUAAUGAACCCUACCAAUUGCCAACAGAAUCACAAUCCCCACAAACCCAAGUUUUGAUUUUGACAGAUGAUAGGAUAUUUAGAAAGAUGCUUUAUGACGGAUCCUCAAUCUAUUCACAAUAAUUUACAAUUUAAUACUCAAUCUAUCAUAAAAAUAUCGUCUUUAUAUUUGUGUGAAUGAACAUAUAUCUUACACAAUCAAUGGAAAACUGAGUGCUGCUUGGGUAAUUGGUCAUGUGUCACAACAUCGGUCUAAGAUCCAAAUUAACGUUUCAAAGACAUGAACUCAAUAGUAUAGGCAUAAUUAUACUUAUGUCCCUUAACUAUAUCUCGUCUCAUGUAUGUUGUCUGAAACUCAAUUGACUCAGUUUGUCUUGUUUCAAAGUUAACAUUAUGUUAAGGGUGAUGUUACAGAGAGCAUAUACUUAAACCAUAUUUUGUAAACCACAUGAUGUGGCAGUUGAUGGUUGGACUCAUUCUUAAAUCUUUAAAGAAAGAAUCCAACCAUUAACUGCCACAUCAUAUGACAUACAAAAUAUGGUCUCCUAACAUUUUUCUUCUAUUAACCAUAAACCUUUUUCGUUAGAAUCAACAAGGGUAUUUUCUUCGUUACCCCAACAUAGAUAGUAUUAACGAACGAAUGAUCCCCAUGUAGAUCAAGAAACCAAGGCAAGUCAGUUUCAACUGACUAAGUGAGACACGAAUUAUAGUUCAGACCUAGUCAAAGUAUAAUUAAGCCUUAAUUACGUGAGUACUUGAGAGUUCGUGCAUUUACUUAACAGUUCAUGCAUCUUUUUCCUUUCUAGAUACGAAGUAACUAGUAAGUACAUGACAUGAUCUGGCUGCACAAGAUCCAUAUACAAUGCAUGUAAUUAGGAUUUUCUGGUGGAAUUUGAUUGAUAAAUUAGGUGUGAUGUUUGGUACAACAAAAUCACACCGUGAUUGGUACUGAAAAGUCCAAAGGGAAGCCAACCUGGGCUUUUUCUAGGAGAGGGUACCCCAGGCAUGAUUGGGAACGUGGUAUAUGGGUGGACUAAUGGUCGGAUUCAUGUACAAUUUUUAGGUCAUUUUUAGGGCAAAGGGGGUCCUAUUGACAACGGAUCAUGGUUGUUAAUUAAUCAUCUGAUUAAGAUAAUUAGGCACAGAUAUUAUGCAACUUACCAAAUCUUCGAAUGGCAACCACAUAUUUUAUCAUGGGGGCAUGGUAGUAGGCAGGAAGGUUAAGUAUAUCUCGUCUUUUGGUUUGAUGAAAGAGUUGGCGGAUGAAUUUAUUUGUAGCCAUUAAAGUUUACGGUGUGACAUGCCCACGUAGUGUAUGUCGAAGUAAAAUGACAAAUCCUAUUUACCGGGAGCGUUUAAUUUUUAAUUAUCUUUCAAUAUUACUCGCGGAAACAAUUGUCUAUACCACUCAUUUGUUUAGCUAUAUUUUUUUUCUAAUAAAGGGGGGACAACUGGUGGUAAGCCACGGUUAUUCACCCAUUCCGGAGGCCGGGAAGACUCACAGGGACAUUUCAAUCUCCUCCUAGCCACAAGUCUGGCUUCCACACUAGCAGCGGGUUUCGAACCCGAGACCUCCAAUUUCUAAUUUUAAGGAAGUUUCGUAAUCCGUAAUUUACCACUAGUUCACCAGCUUGUGGUUCAUUUGUUUAGCUAUUUGAUUAUCUACAUUUUUGUUCAGUUUUAAGAUUUUAUUUAAUGAACUAUAGUAGCUUGCAGUUUUUAACGAAUCGGAGUUGAUUCCACACUAGCAGCGGAUUUCGAACCCGAGACCUCCAAUUUCUAGUUUUAAGGAAGUCUCGUAAUCCGUAAUUUACCACUAGGUCACCAGCUUGUGGUUCAUUUGUUUAGCUAUUUGAUUAUCUACAUUUUUGUUCAGUUUUAUGAUUUUAUUUAAUGAACUAUAGUAGCUUGCAGUUUUUAACGAAUCGGAGUUGAUUCCAACUCGUUCUAAGUUCAAUUUAAAUCGAUCUGAGUUUGUUGUUCCUUUGUGGAUCCUCCUUUAGUGAGCAAAUUUUAGGUUUUGGUGAUAGCAACAUCGUAGAUGGGGUGAGUUUAAAAUAAUGAGGUAUCCCACACAUUGAUAAUAUCUAUUAGCAUAUCAACAACAUUAUGAACAUAUAGACGUUUACAUACAUUAUAGAAAUCGUAUCAACAAUAUCUACACUGUAUGUCAAUACUAUAUCUAUGGUAUUUACGUUAUAUCAAUAUUUAUCUAUGUAAGGGUACUUUAGACAUUUACCUCUUUCAACACUCUGUCGUUCAUGUCUUUCCCAUCUUUCUUUCUAUUUCAGCACUUUGUGUUUGAAAUCCUUCUACUAUAGCUAAUUUCCCUAUUAUAUUUGUACACGACUCAUAAUAUGAGGAAAUGUAACGACUAUUUUGGACUGCUUCUACUGAUCACCUUGAUGACCGCUGCUUUAAUAAAGGUGGGUCUAAUUUCUUCUUCAAAAAGAUAGAUAUAGAGGAUCAAUGACACAAUUACUUACACGUACAUUUUGAAAAGACAUAUAUAGAAAAGAAUCAUGAUCGUAACCAGUCUUAUUUAGGAUAGGAAAUCACAAUUUUGCCUAAGAAUAUAUGUAUAGGAGGGUCCACACUUAUUAGACAAAUGUUGAAUAAUUGCGGUACAAAUAACAUUAUUCAAACGUAACACUAUCUGUGCAACAAUGAGUCCCACUUCGGGGUUAUUGGAAUUUCAAAAAUAGUAAAAGAAUUAUAUAAAGGUAACUUGAAAAAUGAAAUGAAGAUUAGCAUUACCAUAUUCUAAAGUUGAGGGCCUAUAUUUCGAUUAUUUACGAUUUUGCCAUUCCUCGGAAAGAUGGUCUGAUUUGGGUUGCCGCAGUUGGGCGGCAUGUGGGCUUCGCACAGGGUUUUGGAGGCCUGUACUCAAAAUGGCCCAAGGCCUGUAAUCAUCUAUGUGAGUAUCCGUACCAGAGGGUAAGCUUUUUGCUUUAGCACACACUAUCUACCCAUUUUUCAUUUUUUUUCAUGUACCAUGGUACAUUAGAAAAAUAUAAUUUAGUGGUACGUUUUCCUUUUAGAGGAUAGUUUGUAUGGGGUACAUUUCAAUUUAACAUUAAUAUUGUCUAUACAAAUUUCCGUCGUCUUCAGUCUUGACGAAAAUGCACCUGCAAAACAAUCAACACCUUUGAUCAAAAACUUAAGCCUCAUGCGUCCACAAGGGUGGGGGGUUAGGUCAACGGAUCUCCAAUGCCUAAGUUAGUUUAUCUGAGAGAGUAAAGUGUUUAGGGCUUUUUUCAGGGUUAGCCAAAGCUCUCAAAAUUUGGUAGAAAUAUGGAGUAUUUAUAGAGAUAGGGCCGACCAUAGUGUUUAAUGGAGAGAUAUUCUCUAAAUAUUUCCAAGAUAUUAAAUAGGAAAUAAUACAUUGAGAUAAUGGUGUAAUUAUCCCCAAUUGAUUUAAAUUAGGAUUACUUACUUGAUUGGAGUCAAUCUUCAAUUAGGAAUGUAUUAAAGAUAGGAUUUGGGUAAUUAAUCCUUAUCUUUAAUUCCUUGCCAAGGGCAGGUGAGUUGUGAGCAGUCGUACUCAGCUGCUAAGACCUCCAGGAAUGUGAGUUGCGCGUGGGAGCAUCUGAGAAGUCAGCCCAUUUAUUGAGGGCAAUCUUGUCUUUCUUGAAUAAAAGUCACGUGUCGCCUCUAGAAUUUUUGGAAUUAUUUUAGGUUCCACAAAUGCCCUCACACCUACUGUGCUGCACACAGAAAAAUGAUAGUAGGUGCAGGAAUCCCAAGCUGCUUAGGCUUGUAGAAUUGUUUCCCAAUUUGAACUUGAUCUUCUUUUUUGAUUUGGAGAUAGACUUCUUCCAGGAAAAGGAAAAUAAUUGCCCCCAAUACCUAUUUAAUUAUGCCUUAAGCAGGGGAUUAAAUAAAUUUGGAGAACAAUCAUUAUUCCAACAAGGAAGAGAAGCCAGAGGAAAUUUUUAUUGCCCUCCCCUAGCGUUCUUCUUUUCUUGCCCUUGCAAAUAGUCGUUUCUCGUUGUUGUUAUUCUUUUUCUCUGUGCUGCACCAAGGUAAGAAAAACUUAAAUUUUCUUCUUCUUGAAUUUUUUGGGUCUUGGGACUUGAAAAAUUGGCUUGGUGGGUGCCAAGAAGGUGUGAGUGGCGUGGCAGGGAUGUCAUGGGGCUGCAGGUGGUGCGGCAAGAAGGUUGGCUCGACUUGGCCGAGGUGUCAGCGGCGCUAGGGCGCUGAAAGGUUGGAACGGGCCGGACCUUGUGGGCUACUGGACAGGGGCCCGUGCAGUAGAUAGGCCAUAGAGAGGGAAAGUUCGGCUAGGGCUGGCUCUCCGUCUUUGGUGGCCUGGGUUGCAUGACCCGACCUUGCUUCUUGGGGCGCCUAGCACGCGAGCAGAAAAGGGUGAGGAGACGUGGGCCUCCCCCCGCGUUGGGUCGACCUGCAUGCAAGAGAGAGAGGGCCGAGAGGCUUUGGGCCUCGUUGGGCUAUUUGGCGCGCGAGGAAGAGAGAGAGGAAGGAGGCACGAGCUUCCCCCCUAUGUUGGGUUGAAACGGCUUGGGCCGUGGAAUGUUGGGCGCGAAAGGGUUUGGGUUUAUUUUCAAAUGAUUCAACUCAUACCAGAACAACGAACCAGUUGGGUAGUGCUCCUGGCAAGGGCGCAUAAGCAAAAAAUUAACAUACAUAUCAAUUUUUUUAGAUCUGAAAAUUGAAAAACCCAAAGGCCCUGUUUGGUACUCUACUUGAAUCCAACUUUUUAAACUAAAAAACAAUUUUUAAGUUUUAGGCCUUAAAAAACUUGUUUGGUAGGACUAUUUUCAAAAACUGAACUCAAAACUAAGUAAAAAAUAUAGUCUAUUCUCUAAAAACAUAAAAAGUGAGUUUUUAGAGUUUUUAAACUUAAACUCACUCAUUUCUUUGCUCUCCCUCCUCCCCUCCCACUCCAAAUCUAUCUCUCUCUCUUUUCUCUCUCUCUUUCCUCUUUUUUUUUUACCUUUUUCGUCUCUCCUCCAACCCGCUAUCUUCUUUCUAUUGGUUAUUUCUCUCACUUAUUUUCCUCUCUAUCUCGUCUGAUCAUUUCCCUUCUUUCUCGUUCUUUCAAUCAUCUCUUACUUUCUUUCCUCCUCUCUCCUCUUUCUCCCUCUCUUGCGACCCUCUCUUUUUAGUUCUCUUUGUCCAUUUUAAGUCGUAAGAUUUAAAAAUUUUAAAUUGCAAACCAAUCACAUUUUUGAAUCUUAAAGAAAAUUGUUCUCAAGAAAUGUUCUUAAAAAAUGUUUUGAGAAAUGAUAAAAUUUUCAAAUAGGAUACCAAACAGGCCCUAAAAUUUUAAUUAAAACACAAAUUUGCAAUCAAUUGCAAAAUUAGAGAGAAAAAUAACCAGCUUCAAUCAAUUGAAAAAAAAAAUUGGAAGAAAAAGCCGAUUCAACUACACGAGAAGGGUUCAAUCCAAACCCUCAAGUGGAUACUCUAUCCCUUCUUCACCCUUCGUAAUCAGCGUUUGCAUCAUGUCUUGGCAAACACGCAAAGAAGACACGGAGUCCAUACCACGCGUAACCUGCUUGCCCAAUCCUUCCUGGUGAGGAACAGGCGCGAGCAUUGCCGUUUGAACUCCAAAACGACGGGUGUGGAAUUUGUUGUCCCCAAGAAGUCCGAAUCAGAGGAAGGCAGAACAGUGAGAGAAGAAGAAGAAAAAUUGCAAGAAAAAUAGGAUGAGGACGGGACAGAGAAGGAGGAUGAAGAGAAAAGAACUUGGGAUUCAGAUUAGAGAUCAAGCGAUGCGGGAUGGAGAGAGCAAACGAUGAGGGACAGAGAUAGCGAGAGAGGCGUGUUUUCUACCCGACUAAAUAAUACCGUGGUUUUGGGCGGUAUAACUAAGUGGGUAUCAACGGGAUAAAAGGGGUGGGAUCAGAUUAUUUAAUCCGGUGACUAUUUAGUACAUAGAGACAUCAAACAUCCAACUUCGUAUUAUGUGUUAUACAUCGUACCAAAUAAGACCACAGUAUACUUAAGCUUGGCUCCAACUAUUUUUUCGAACUCAAACUCAACUUUUGCAAGCCAAACUUAAAAAAUAAUAAUUUUGGAAGUGAGAGUGGUUUUUAGAGUUAAAGACAAUAAUAAUUUUGGAAUAUACACGUUGAAAAUGAUUUUUGGUGUAUUGAUAAUUUUUUUUAAUCUUAUGAGGUCGAAAUUGUCAUUGCAUAUUAGAGUAUAUAAAUAAUUUCAUAAUUUUUGAAAUGUCAUAUAAACUAUACACAUUUUUCAAUAUGGCAUAUAAACUAAAUUUUAAGCAAUUGUCAUAUUAACUUUCUGAAAUCAUUAAUUUGUCAUCUCAUCUUAGCACCGUUAAGUUUUUCAUCCAAAAUACUUGCACAUGCCUUGUUUCAGGGUUAUUUUAGAUGUUUGGCCUGAUUUUCAUUUCAUUUUAUGGUUUGCCAUGAGAAAUAACCUUGUAAAAACAAAGUAAGUUUGAUAUUACCAUUGUUUUAGAGGACUACUAUACUUCAUGAACAUGUGAUAUAUUUGACGAUUAUACUGUUGGAGAGAAACUUGAUCAAAAUUAUAUCAUGUAAUACAAGUUUCGUUUUUGUUUUAGAAUAAAAAUAUUAUUCCAUUACAUAAUCAUUUCAUUUUUUGGUUUGUAGAAACCUAGAUUGUUGUUUCGUUGAAAGCAACUUUUUAGAAGGAGAGUGGAGAGCUGAAAUGUUCUAAAUAACCUAAACACAAGUCAUGUGCAAGGCACAUGACCUACUUUUUUUUUAUAGAAAACCUAAUGGAGUUAAGGGCAUAUGACAAAAUUUAAGAUUUCAAAAAGUUGAAAUGACAAAUCGCUUAAAAUUUUAGUACAUAUAACAAAUUGAUAAAAAUGAAAACUAAUGAAAAAGGCUUGAAAACUUUGAGUUUUAACGAUAAAGACAAAAUAAAGGGUAAAAUGAAUAGUAAUGUGGACAGUAAUGUGGGUUUUUCGUUAAAACUUCCUUGAUAAAAACGUAUUAGUUAUUAUGACAUUUUAAAAUUUUCUCCUAAACUUUAAUGUGAAGUAUAUUCAACCUUAUGUUGUAUAACCAUUUUUUUCUCGACAUUUUCAAAUUUUCAAUAACUAUGUAUACCAGUUUUCAUAUUCAGCAUUGGCGCACACGACAUUAUCCAAGUAUCGAAGGCAUCAUUUGACUUAUGCAGUUCAGCAAAACCCAUUGGCUCAACCCUCAGAGCUGGCUCAGUAAACAUCACUCUCACCUCCGCAGGCAACUGCUACUACAUCCAGUGGCGAAGCUAGAAAUUGACGGGGGAGGGGUGAAGUUAGGUAGUGUCUACGAAUUGCUUCAUGAUAAUUAGGUGGAUAAUCAAGCAUUCAACGUCUAUGUCCAAGGUAUGCAAGAAGAUUAACCAAUAUUACUCAGUGGUCUCACUUUGUUGUGAACUACUUGGAAUACUUGAAUGAGGACUUCUUGGAAUAUUUGAAGGAGGAUGAGGACCACUUGGAAUAUUUGAAGGAGAAGGACUACCUGAAAUGUUUGAAGGAGGAUUUAAGCAUUGUUUCUUAUAGUAUCGUUCAAUUACGUAACUGUAAAAUGGAGAGAAAAAAAAUUCUUACACUCUUAAUCCUAGAGUAGACUAUACUAAUAUGCAUAAUAAUUAAUCCAACUAACAAUUCAAUUAAGCUAUACCAAUAAGCGUACAAAUUAUUCAAUGAAUAAAUAUUCAAUUCAACUAAUCAUAUGAAUAAUUGUAUACAUUAUGUAAUAAUUCAAUUAAUUAAUCAAUAAUCAAGAAUUCAAAUUUUAAUUUUCACCCUAAAAAAUAAUUUUAAUUUCAUAUCAAUAAUCAUAGAAUCAGAUCAAUAAUCAAUAACCAUAUUAGUGCAAAAAUAACAUUACAAAUUACAAAGACUAAAUAUGUCCCCAACGAAAUUUCAUACUAAAAAAUGCGUCAUGAUAGAUUUAUUGUCAACUAGAGCAAAAACAUCCGUAUAUGAUUGAAACCAUCCAAUAUUGAAAUUGAACUAUUUGAUCUAUGGACACUGGAGAUGAGACUAGUGUUGUGCUGGUAGGUGGCCUUCGGUGGGGUGGGGUGGGGAUAAGGAAUGGUUCUCUGUUUCAAAUUUGAACCGUUUUGUUUUUGUUUUUUCAAAAAAUAAAAAUAAAAAUCGUGAAAACUAUAUAUUAAAAAAGUGCACCAAACGCACUGUUUUACUAAAGGGUGUUUUCAAACCCGAGCCCUAGGUAAAACACACCGUUUUACUUAAAUGAUAAAUAGUCUUCUUCUUCCUUCUUCUAAUUUGCAGAACACCAGAACUCUGCAGCCCCGCUCCUCUUAUCCUCCACCUUGUGCCCAGACGGGGUGGUCCUCGGAGGUCCUUAUAGCAUAUUAUUUGGACUUUUGGGUGGUCCCAGGACCACCCAGGUCCCUUAAUAGAUCUGCCCCUGACUGAACCAGUGGGUUUUCCGACGAGGGGAGGGGCGGACCCAGAAAUCCAGUCCUGUUUUCCGACGAGGGGAGUGGCGGCUACCACUCCUCGCCCUCAUGUGGCUUCGCCACUGACUACAUCUACAGUUUUGGCCUAAAUUGCCAGUCAGGCAUGAAGCUAGCCAUCAUCGUAUCUGGUGCUUCCCCACGAUCCUUACUGUUAAGAACUCUGUUCCUCGUCAUUGGUGUAGUUUUCGGCAUACUUGUUAUGUCUGACCUCCUAUGAUUUUUAAUUUUCCGGCGACGACGAAAAGUCAAGUCCUUUGGCUCCAACCAUGGGAAGACAAAGUCAACAAAGAACCUCGAGUCACCUUUACUGCUUUAUCUGUGUCGUUAUUUUUCGUUGGCUAAGAUUAAAGCCAGCACCCAAAACUUCAAUGAUACUUUCAUUAUUGGUGUUGGCGGGUUUGGCAAUGUGUACAAAGCAUACAUUGACGGCAGUGCCACUCCUGUUGCUAUCAAACAGCUAAGACCCGAGUCAUCACAAGGGGCCCGCAAGUUCAAGACGGAGAUCGAGCUGCUCUCCCAACUCCGCCACCGCCAUUUGGUUUCACUCAUUGGUUACUGUGCCGUUAAAGGUGAGAUGAUCUUGGUUUAGGAUUACAUGGCAUGCAGCAUUCUCGGUGACCAUCUGUAUCGUACAGGUAACUCUAAACCUCUUCCUUGGGAACAACGGCUUCAAAUUUGUAUUGAUGUUGCGCAAGGGUUACAUUACCUUCACAGCGGUGCCAAAGGCUCCAUUAUUCAUCGCGAUGUGAAGAGCAUAAACAUUUUAUUGGAAAAAUGGUGGCCAAGGCAUCGGAUUUCGGGUUGUCAAAAAAUGGGCACGACUAGCAUGUCCAAAACGCACAUCAGCACGGUGGUGAAAGGGAGUUUCGGGUAUCUAAACCCGGAGUACUACAAACGUCAACAGUUGACUGAGAAGUCCGAUGUGUACUCAUUUGGGGUGGUUUUAUGGGAGGUAUUGUGUGCGAGGCCAGUUCUAAUGCAUAAGGUGGAGGCUAGGGCAAUCAGCCUCGCUGAGUGGGCCAAGAGUUGUCAUGGAGACGGGACACUUGAUCAAAUCAUUGAACCAAAUGUGAAAGGUAAGAUUGAAGUCGAGUGCUUGAACAAAUUUCGUUGACAUUGCUAUAAGUUGCUUACAUGAUAAAGGAAUCAAACGACCAUCGAUGAAUGAUGUUGUGAGGGGGCUUGAGUUGGCAUUGCAGCUUCAUCAAAAGAGCAUUGGAAGUCAGGGCGACAAUGGGGCUGCCUUUGUCAAUGACUGCGGUGAUGACAAAUAUUCCGAACAAUGUAUAUAUGUGACAAUCUUCUUUGAGAUCAACGAUACAUAUGAAAGAUGAUGAGCAACAUUUUACAAAGUGCAAGCAAUAUUCUGGAAACAAUAUCUCAAAAUGUAUAUGUUGUAUGCUUUUCGGUGACACUCCAGAUUCAACAUCAACAACAAUGGAACUGAGAUCCUCAAAAUGUAUAUUAACUGAAUGCUGCAACCACAAGCCAGCAAAGAAAGGAAGUAUGAAACUAUAUUGUCAAUUGACUUUUGAAAUACAUAAAGGUCGUACCCAGUGCACAAGGCUCCCGCUUUACGCAGGGUCUGGGAGAGGUGAAUGUCGGCUAGCCUUACCCCCAUUUAUGGAGAGGCUGCUCCCAAGUCUCGAACCCGAGACCUACCGCUCAUGGGCGAAGGCACUUGCCAUCGCACCAAGUGCGACCUCUAUUUUUGAAUACAUACACGAAAUAUUUCAGAAUUUGAUGUUUUGAAUCACAUUACAAAGACUACAAUGGGAAAAUCGACUUUAACCACUGUAACAUGUUACAAAAAUGAAAUAGAAAAUAUUCAGAACAAGCAAGACUUUUCAAAGAAAAUGAGAGGUAAAGAAAGCUUAGUUAACUUAGCACAGCUUGUAAUUUUUUAACCUUUCCCUUUCUCCUCCAUGCGACGAUUGUUCUUGUAGAAAAACGAAAUGUUAUAUAUAGUGGUCAUUUAACCCUCCUCUCCUCUGGCAAUGAUUGGCAAACUUGGGAAGCUUGCGUACGAAAAGCUCUCCAAGAGAAGCCAUCGUGUCCUGCAAAAAAAAAAAAAAAAAAAAAAACAGAACUUAAGACUUAAGAUUCGCAGAAUGACAGUCUAAUGUCUGCCUAUCGAUGAUCUACAAAGUAUUUGAACAAUAUGCAUGCUAUGUUUCUCAUAUUUAUUUAUUUAUUCUUUAUUUUUAUAUUUGUGCAACCAUGAAAGUUAAUUGGAUGCAAAAUAUACCUGACUUCGAAUGGCGGCAAACCCUCUUCUGGAAGGCAUUGGAAACUGUCACACCCCCAAAUAUAUAACUUUUGACGAGAAGUGAGGUUUUGAAGUAGACCUUCUCCUGGCAAAUACUCCAGACCUGGGCAGCUUUCAGUUCAUAGCUCUUGAAGAGAAGUGAGGUGUCGAAGUCCCUUUCUGUCCAUUGAUUCCAAGUAGUUUGGACAGAUCACAAGUGCUUAAAUUGUUUCAUGGCUAUUCUAAUGUCCUCGCCUGCAAAACCGGGUGCUCCAUUUUAUGACUGACUUGUGUUGUUGGAAUUUGAACAAGUGAAGUAUGUGGAAGCAGCAUUGCAUCAUAAAGAUGUCGGGUCUGUGCAGCUGUGCUACUUCGUGUCACCUUUAGGCAAGCCUUUGUACCCUGUGGUGGAGAAAAGCAUCUCACUGUAUUAAAAAAUGGAGAACAUUCAACCACAUGAACUUUUAUUUCACACCUUGUUCGCUAAAUUUUAUGUUGAUGAUGAAGAAAAAGAACGAAAGGAAAAGAAAAGUGAGAAAGCACACCUCCACAUCUUCUGCUAAAAGAUCUAAUUACGUGCGGCUUUCCAUUUUUGCUGCGAAUUUAUGGCCAGGUUUACAAGAGCAUAACAUAUCUCCGCAAGCUUGAUGGUCCCUGAAUAAAGAAAAUGAGACAACCUGCCAACGCAGAAGGAGGGAAGUACAGAUGCGAGUUUGUGCCACCCAUAUUAGGCUUCUGUAGUUCAAAAAUCAACAUUUCGAGUCCUCCUGUAAUUAGAGGUUUACCUCCAUCUGUUUUCACACACUCCUACUACAUAUGAAAUUUUGAAAUGCCUGCUUCUUGUGAUAGCUAUUCAACAUGGAUGCCAUCUCGGAUGCUUUUGCCUUACAUAUCAGCUCAACAAACUCCUAAAUACAGAGAUGAAAGUAAAAUUCAAUGGGCACAUUGAUGAUAAAGAAUGAACAAAACUAACUAUUACGGUUUCAAAUAGAUCCAAUUAUUGUUGCUUCGUAAAUUAAUUCUCUCUAAGAAGUCUAUGAUUUGUAAAUUAUAUUAACAUGAUUUUUUUUUUAAAUGGUAUGCAAACUACAUAAAACAGGGAUACUGUGAAGGAACAAAACUGAAACAUAUAUUCAGUUAAAAUUUGUUAAAACGAAGCAUCAUAUCCUCUGCAUAAGAUGGUCCAUGGUAAGAGAGAAUGUAAAAUAAAGCUCAUCUGCAGUAUUCAACUAAAGGUCUAUUACCAGUUCACAUUGUAAAGAAAAGCAUAGAUACACCAACUUGAAGAUGAUAAUGGCAUUGAAAGAAGAUGAGAUAGCAGGCCACCGUAUUCAAACCAUGCCCAUAUGACAAAGAAAUAUAUCAUCCCGGGGUUCCAUCAUCUUCCUUUAGAGGUGCAUCAUUUUCAAGCCAAAAAUGCUUAGUAAAUUGAUGUGAGCUAACAUCCGUCGCCUCAGACAAUCGCCUCUUAAGUUCCACAAUAAGGAUUCUGCAGUAAUGACGCCACCAUAUUCAAACCAAAUAAGUCAGUGCAUCACAUAUAUAGGUGAAUUACGAAUUUUUGUUUGUAAAGAAACUCAUCCGCACCAACAUAAAAGCCACCAUAUUCAAACGAAAUCAGAAUGAUUAAAAAAUAAAAAUAAAAUCGUCCUAAGGGUUACCUACAUGAUAUCUCUUGCACCAGCGUGAAGAUCACUAGGACAUCAGAAGAAAACCAGAAAAGCAUGCCACGGCUGUUUACUCAUGCCAGACAGGCCUAGUAAUUGAUGCAAGCUAGCAUCUGUUCCCUUGGGUAAUUCUACCUUACAGUUCUACACCACAGUUAGCUCGCUGCCACAUCCACAAAGGCCAUAAAUGAGUCUGUCCUGGCACAUUGUAUUAACAGAUACUUAGGAUUGAUUUUACAAAAGUCUUGAUAACUAAUGCUGAUUCACGCAACCAAGAAAUGGUAAAAAGAAUACAGAACAGUUGAAUAAUGCAUCAAUAAUACACAUGAGCUACUGAGAAACUAAUCUGCAACUUUGAUUCUCAAAACUUUCAAUAACAUUUCUUCUUUUUCUCUGCCCCUCCCUCCCCACUCACUCUCUCUCUCUCUCUCUCAUCAACAAGUUUAUGUUGGAGAUAAAUAGAAAGAAUGAAACGAAAAGAAACAUCAGAAAACACACAUUGAAAUAUUUAACUGCACACAUCUUUACAUUUGUCAGCUACGAUUAUAUGAGCAUAAAGUAUCUACGCAAGCAUCAAGCUGGUAACUGAAUAAAGAAAACGAGACAGCCUGCCAAUGGAGAAGGAGGAAAACGUGGAUGCAAGUUUGUGCCCCCUAUGUCGAAAGCAUGCUUUCAAUAAGAAAUGAAUGAAAUCCGAAACCGGAAUGCGAAUGCAGAGACGUGACAUAUUCCAAAAGUUCUUGGUAAAAAAAUUGUGAGUUUUCGAAGUACCAUAUAUUCUGUAAGUGACGCCAGGGAUAAGGCUAGAGAUUAAAUAAGAGCAAACAAUACUUGACAACGAAAAUGCAGAGAUGAGAAACAAAUUGCAAUAUUUGUAAUUUCUGAAACGUUAAUACAUUAUUCGGUUAUGAAAGAGUACCUAAACAUGUUGCACUUUGAUGCUUACUUUGCUGGAUUGAUCCUCUUCAUACCAUCCCAAAAUGUUGAUCAAUAUGUGUCUUCUUUGCUGCAAAGAAAAAAUUGAUCAAUAUGCUAUGAUUCUUAUUUCUAUUAUGUCUUUUAUUUUUCAAACUAUUGAAGUUAAUUAGAUGCAAAAUACCUGAGAGUCAAAUGCCGAAAAGCACAACUUUGUAUGAGAGAGACAGAGCUCAUAUGAUGACUUCGUCGUUUAUCCGUAUGCAAGGAAUGUGAGAUAUCUUGGCCCAAUCUUCUCCCGUCUUAUCCUCAUACCUUUUCUCCAGGGCGGAACAAGAGUAGAUCUCCAGGCAAGAAAGAGAUGGCGGCAAACCGUUUUCUGGCAGGAAUUGGAGUUUUGGACAGUCAGAAAUUCGUAGCUUUUGAAGAGAAGUGAGGUGUAGAAGUCCCUCUGUUGGAAGGAAUUCCAGACUUGGGCAACGAGAAAUAUUUAGAAAUUGAAGAGAAGUGAGGUGUUGAAGUCCCUCUCGUGGCAGGAAUUCCAGACUUGGGCAAUCUUCAAUACUUAGCCAAUGAAGAGAAGCAAAGUGUCGAAGUACUUUUACAUCCACCACCGAUUUCAGACUUGAUAAUCCAAUGAUGAGGAGACCGUUAAGAGUAGUAGGGAGCAGGAGCUGUUCCUUGAGCAACGGUGCCCAGAUCUCGCCAGCAAUUUCAAAAUGUUUAAGGGAGACAAGUCCUUGUAAUCCCCACUCCACCGAAGGCUUCACUUUGUCGCAACGUCUAACAUCAAAAUAUUGCAGGUUGGGAGGCAAACCCCCUUGUGCAAAUGAUACAAGAUUUGGAAGAUUCGAGAUAUGCAAUCGUUCAAGGGCGGUGAGGGUGCGAAUUCGUUCGGGGAACGACUUCAAAUUCAUGCACGUCCAGACCUUCAAUUCUCUCAAGUUGGGAGUGGGCAAUCCUCCGUCCGGGAAAGACGCCAGAUUUGGACAGUUGCAGAUUUGGAGUUGAUUGAGAUGGCUUAGGUUCUGAUCAACUCCUUCAAUAGAAAAGGAUUCCAGAUUCUCACAGCCAUCAAUUUCAAGAGUUGAAAGUUUGGGGAAAACGCCCAACGGGAAGGACCUCACUGAAUGAAAACUAUCGUAUAUAAACAAGGACUCAAGUGACGUCAAUUCGGCCAUCAUCUCAUGAGAUAAGAACUCUAAUGACGACGGUUGGGCAAUCCCUGAAAGUCAAUCUUCGAAGAUAUUUCAUUUUGGGCAGGCACUGUAUUGCAUCAAAAUUAGAAAUUCUCAGUGUGGACAAGAACUUCUUCUCUACUCUCUCUAUUAAUGGUAACAGACCUGGGCAUCCACCAAUCUCUAUUUCCAAUGAAUUCUGUAAGUAGUCCAUGUUAAUACUGGCCCAUUCAUCAUGCAGAUGCAGAUAUUCACACCUAUACACCCUAAGUGUUUUCAAGCAUGGAAGAUGAUUGGGCAAGUACCCUCUCAGCUUCUUACAGUAACUUAUUCUCAGCACCUCGAGACAAGGAAAGUCUGAACAUUGACCUUCACUUGGACUCGGUAGCCAAUCCUCCCACUCUGGCAUCUCCUUAAACUCUAGCAUCUUCAGAGACCGAAAGGGCUGAAUUACAGAAGCUCCAUUAAGAUCACCAUAGAAUUCAUCACCAACUUUCGUAACAAAAUUCAUCCUUUCGAUGCGUAGCUCUUUAAGAGUGGGCAGCUGCCCAAAACUUGGCAAGGACAAACAAUACUUACAAUCACUGAUACACAUGAACUGUAUGUUCGAGAAGGAAUUAGAGCUUCCUAACCAAUUUGGGAAGCUGAACCCUCCAUAGAAUCUGAUAGUCAGUUUCUCCAAAUUUGCAGAAGGUUGGAGCUUGUCAAGCACAUCUCUCUCCUUUUGGGAAUCAUCGGCUUCCUCCACACCCCAUGCCAACUCUAAGUCCUUGAGUUCUUUCUUAUCCUUCAAAUUGGCUUCCAAUGCAUCCACAACAUGAACUCCAUUGUGCAGCUUUGAAAUACAAAGUCUUCCUUGAAGAUGCUGCAACUCCCUUAAUUCUCCAAUGCUAGACCCGGUAGAUUUCCCCACAACGAAAUCAGUUAAUGUUCUCAAACUUUUUAGUCUUCCAAUUUCCACUGGCAUCACUUGUAUUUUUGUUCCCCAGACAUCGAGGUAAUGCAAACUACUCAAUUCCCUCAUAUCUGCUGGUAAUUUAGUAAGGGAGCUGCAACCUGCCAACGUUAACUUCCGUAAAUUUAUCAAUUUUGUCAUGUCUGCUGGCAGUUCAAUGAGAGCAUGACAAUAUGACAACAGCAACGUCUGCAAAUUGUAGAGAGUGCAAACUGCACCAGGUAAGCUUACAAUUGCCGUCCCGGAGAGAUCCAGGUAGCGCAGGUGAAUGAGACUGCCCACAGAAUCAGGUACUUCAGAAAAAUUUCCAUAAUGUGACAAUGAUAAAACCCGUAAACGUUUCAGGGAUGGCAACAAAUCAUGUAGAAACUUUUUACUUAUGUGGAAGAACGAGCCAUAUAAUGAGAUAGGUAGGAAGGUCCGCAGACACUUAGCCCCAUUUAAUGGCUCAAAUUUUUUAGCAGCAUCAAUUUCUCCCCUAUCAUAUGACAAAUGACGAAGUCUUUCAACUUCUUGUGAUUCCCUCUCUUCCAACCUGAGAAAAAAUCCCCUAGACAUGAACUGACCCAAGUCGUUAAGAAGAUCAUGCAUUGUGAAACCAUCCUCCCCUGAUUUUUGAAGUAGCGAUCGUGAUACCAGCUCAUCGAAGUAACUUCUAGCCGUCUCUUCCAUUCUUUGCCCGUUAAAACCUUGUGGAAUUAAACCUUCUGCCAUCCAAAGUAGAACCAUAUCUUCCUUCUUGAACUCAUAGUCUUUUGGAAAAAUUGAACAAUAAACAAAACAUCGUUUCAACGGAGCAGGGAGAUAAUGAUAGCUCAACCCUAGGGCUGGAAGGAUAUCACUUUUAUCAUAAGGUAGCUCCCAAAGACUACUACUUAAUAAUUUAUUCCAUUCCUCGAAGUCUCUCUGGCCACGUAAUAGACCCCCGAGUGUUUCUGCCGCUAA